rnacentral:lncRNA from 1 species
UGGUUCAAGGCCGGCUCCCAGAUCUUUAGCGAGGGCGGCCUCGACUACCUCGGCAACCCCAGCCUUAUCCAUGCGCAGAGCAUCCUCGCCAUCUGGGCCUGCCAGGUCGUGCUCAUGGGCGCCGUCGAGGGCUACCGCAUUGCCGGCGGCCCACUCGGCGAGGUCGUCGACCCGCUCUACCCCGGCGGCAGCUUCGACCCCCUCGGCCUGGCCGACGACCCUGAGGCCUUCGCCGAGCUCAAGGUCAAGGAGCUCAAGAAUGGCCGCCUCGCCAUGUUCUCCAUGUUCGGAUUCUUCGUCCAGGCCAUCGUCACCGGCAAGGGCCCGCUCGAGAACCUGGCCGACCACCUCGCCGACCCAGUCAACAACAACGCCUGGGCCUACGCCACCAACUUCGUCCCCGGCAACUAAGCUCGCCAUUCGCCUCUGCAACUCCAUUGUCUUCCGGCCGGGAGGGGCGUACGUGGAUUGGUUGAUGCUGCAAGCGAGCUGCCGCAUGCGUGUCUUGUUUCACGUUGCAUUUCAGGGGCAAGUCGAGAUGAUGAGUCGGCGUUGUACACUAAGAUGAUGUUUGUGCAAUAGUAGUGGUUUUGUUCCCUGGUGGUUAACCUUUGAUUUGUCUGAUUAAGGGCAUCUCUUAAUUUGUUACUGUCUACAACUCCUUUUAGAUCCUUGAGCUAAAGUUUAUUCCUUAUCGUAUCGAAUCUUCGGAUGCUAAUUAAGAUGACUAAAUAUGAGCUAAUUAUAAAACUAAUUACACAUAUGGAGGCUAAUUCGCGAGACGAAUCUAUUAAAUCUAACUAUAUUCGUCUCGCGAAUUAACCUGUGCAAUUAAUUUUUUAAUUAAUCUAUAUUUAGACGAUGUGAUAUAGAUCACCGCGGAACCAAACGGGAGAUUAAACGUAUAAAUAUAUAUAUAUCGCAGACCUCGGCAUGUUUCAUCCUGUGAUACAUGCCACGUGUCCACUAGACAGUGCUGGUGCCGGAAGAAAAAAAGAGGAUCGACGGUGACUGCACUUUUACCGUAUCAGCUACUGACAUGUGUACCGUGUUCUUUUUUUUACCGUCCAUGGGCCGUUGUACUCUGGUUUCCUUAAGCCGUUUCGUACGUUAGGCUUCGGCCUACGUGUGCGUCGUCAGUGUGUGUCCAGUGUUGUGGCCUACUGUUUUGCCGCUUAGUUGCCUUCAAACGCUAUAUGUAAAUUAACAGUUGGUGUAUAUCUAAUCUGGACAAUUGUUGAGCUUGUUAUCUACAUAUUUUAGUAUGUUCUUGUAUUAACCCGUCUCUUGACACUUGAAAUAAUUCCAUUUUUCAUAUGUAUUGUAUUUUGGAGAACCUUCUAUUUUUUGCAGGAAAUUGGACUGUAUCGAGGUAUAAUUGGACAAGGUUCUGGACAAGCAACAACAUAGAGAAAGACGAAGGCCAACGGGUCCAAAAAGACCUAGGCCAGGCUGAUCGGCCUAGAGUCCUCAGGGCCCCGAUCAUGCUCGUUCUUGGCGAGCACUCCUAGGCCGAUCGGCCUGAGGUGUUCCUUCACCCGAUUACCUUCCAAUUUCUGCCACGAGCUCUUCAAACUAUGAAUACCCCAAAAAUUCAGAGAGCCCCGGCAUUCAUCCGCCAGAACUCGACGAAACCAAAGGUAUACACCAAAGGGAGCUGAGGCCCACUGCAAGUCUUCGGAGUUGUCUUGGAGAUGGCUUAGGCCGACCCUAGCCACCAUGGCCUCCCUGCACGAUUGUGCCAUGGUGAAGUUCAGGAGAGCCAGUAGUAGAUCGUCGAUGGUAUGUACUCAGAGGUGAUGAUCUAAAUACAUCUAUUAUAUGAGCAACGUUCUUCAUGUCAUCUGAUCUAUUAGCGACUUGUUGUCUCCUUCUAUGCUUUCUACUUAUCAUGAAUAUGCUUGUCCCUUAGUCUAAUGCUAGUUUAGACUACAUAGCAUGCUUUAUGUAAUCUUGGUGAUUAGAUCUAGUAUGUCGAUCCUUCAUGAUAGCUAGACAUGUUCACCUGUGUUCGUACCCUUAAAUUGCCUGCGCCGAUAGGGGGAUCGUGACGGGGUCUGCUUCCGUGUAGGGUGGGGGUUUUCGGGAUGUUGACCGGAGGUAGUAGUAGUUUAAAGAUUGCUUUGGAUGAGAUACAUGAUGUGCUUGCUUGUUGGCUAGAACUACAACUAGAAGAUGAUAGGCUCUUUCUACCCUUGGUGGUGUUAUAUCAUAUAUAUCUGUGGAUGUGAUCUACACUUAUUCAUGCCAUUGAUCUUUACAACAAAUUUGCCUUCAUAUGCAAUCAAUGCUUCGUGUUAGAACUAAUCCGUUAGAUUAGAUGGAAAUCCAGAGUCAGUUUGCUGCCGAUCCACGGAUUGAUAAAUCUUGGAUAUAAUACUUUAAGAGAAAAGCUAUGAUGAUCCGUUCGUUUACGGUUUACGACUUAACGUGUUAACUACCGUCAACAACAAUGUAUGUUUGUAUGGAUACACCCGGUACCAUUUUUUACAUGUCAAACAUAUUAUGCAGUUGCAAAACAAAUGGUUUAUUGUGGCUCCUGUUCAACUUCCGUGGCUCGAUAGAGAAACACUUAUUCAUAUCGGCUCAUCUGUGCCCGACAUAAAUGAGCCGGCAUGGAUAAGUCAUCCAUAUCAGGUUGAAAAUGAGCCAGCGCAAACAUUCAAUUAUCCCUGGCUCUAUUAUUCAUGCUGCUGUAAUUUUGAGCUGGCACGAAUAAUCCAUUUUUCAUGCUAGCUCGAAAUUGCAUCGGCACAAAAAAAAAACUCCUAUCUAUGGAAUUCGAAUUUUAGCUUAUAUUCAAAUAAUUCGUAACUUGUGCGUUCAAACUCGGAUGGAGACAAAUUUUAUAUCAAAAUUGUACAGUUUCACCAGAUCUACAACUUAGUUAAAUAGUUUUUUAUUUGAAGUCAUUUAGAUGCUCAAAUUGUUGAUCACAAUACUAGACAACAAGGGUAAAAAAGAAUAAAACUUCCCUUUGUGUGCAUAUAUGUGGUAUAUGUGUGAUGGUAAUGAGGUAUCGUGCGAGGGGGAGGUUGUGAAUUCGAAGGCUAGACACCUCACACAUGUGACUUCUGACUAUAGAGUGGCCUCCAUGCCUAGAAAAAAAAUAUUUUGCUAUAAGUUUUCAUUUUUACUAAUUGUGUUGGCGCAAUUUUCCACCAGUAGGUACAAUCUGUUAUUCGUGCCGGCGGAAUUGUCCACGGUACGAAUAAUUCGUUAUUCGUGCCAGUCGGCACGAAAGCUGUUCAUGUUCGCAUCGGCUUCGUGGUGCCGGUUUGUUUAAUUGCAUGAAUGAGGUUUUCGUGCCAGAUGAGAUGAGGUGCUCUGCAGCAGUGGAGGGCCACAAAUUUACAUGUUACAUGUAUAGUUCCAUUCGUGUGACGUAGUGAACUAAUGAUCGGGCCACACAUUUACCAUAGAGACUAGACUAUUCGUUCUGAGCCAUAAAAAAGUUCACAAUUCCUUAUGUGCCAUUAAAAAUGUUUUGUUGCCUUUCCAAUCAUCGUAUCAAAUUUUUGAAUACCUCAGUGCCACUGCCGUCCAUUACCGUCAGCUCUGUUGCCGUGAACCCCUAAUUACAUGUCAGUUCUUUUCACAAAUGGCCAUUUUGCACUUCCAUCGUUUCAUUUCAGUUCACCGGUCAUUAUUCAGUCAAUCAGUAUGCCGCUUCGUCGGAAGAAAAUUAGGUGCACACCGGAUGCAAAACGCAUCCGGUACAUACCCGUGUGCUCGGCCGACGCGUGGAGGGCGCCCCAAAUCCGACGGAAGCAAUCGUUGGGUCCAGCGGCUCGUCGCGGCGCGGCUCGGCUGCAUGGCUCGAUAACGCACGGCUGCAUGGCUCGAUAACGCACGGCUGCAUGGCUCGGAAGGGAAGGAAUAGGCGGUGCCGUACGUUGAGGUCCUUCGGGUCUCCAGCUUCCGGCAGCCGGCCGUACGUUGCCUUCGGUGGAUACCUCCUGCACACAUACGAGUAGAGCACGACGACGAACAACGCCAUGAGUGUCAAGCACCACCCGAACUACACGUUGAUGACGGCCUUAGUGUGGUGCUCGCUUUCGUCGCUGUGGCAGCGGAUAGAGAGGCCGCCAUCCUUGAGUGAGUAGCCAUUGGCGAUGAGCCCCGGGAGCCACAUGACGCCGAUGUCCAUGAACCACACCCCCUGGAACGUGAGUGCCACCGACCGGAUCAGGCUCACCGUGAAGCUUUGCGGGAAGCUGGCGUCGAGGAGCGCGGUGGCGAGGCGGCGGCGACGACGGCCUGCAGGAACCAGUGGAACUGGCCCUUGACGCCGGCGUGGUCGGAGGAGUGGACGUGGAGCAUGAAGAGCUCCUGCGCGUAGACGAGCGCCAUGAGGAGCGUGCAGAGCGUGCGGCGGCCCCGCAGCCACCAGGAGCGGUCGAGGUACGCGGCGGCACCGGUGUAGAGGACGAGCGCGGUGUAGAUGACGGUCCGCCGGCCAGAUGGAGAAGGUGGCGGCGGCCCAUAUGGAGGAGGCGGCGGCGGCAAGUGCGUCGCCAGGAGAUCACGAGGCGGCGGCUCGCGUUCCCCAAACCCUCACCCAACUAUUCCUUCCCUGCCGAGCCAUGCAGCCGUGCGUUGUCGAGCCAUGCAGCCGAGCCGCGACGAGCUGCUGGACCCAGCGAUUGCUUCCGUCGCAUUUGGGGCGCCCUCCACGCGUCGGCCGAGCGCAUGGGUAUGCACCGGAUGCGUUGUGCAUCCGGUGUGCACCUAAUUUUCUUCCCGCUUCGUCUUGCUUUGCUUGAUGCCCCUCUUACAGCUUUGGGCCCAUCUGCAAGGCUCCAAGCCAACAAAUGGCAUCACGUUGUCGCGCCUGGCCACCGAGUUGACCUCCAGUCCAGCGACCAGCAUCCACACCAACCGCGAGACGGCGCAUCCUACAGUGACAUGCGCGGAUAAGUUAGCGGACACGGCAAUCUCUGCUAUGUAGCAGAACGAGGCCAUGCUGCGGUCUUGCGGCGGGGACCGAGCACCGUGCACCGGUGUGGCGGUGCCAAGCCCGGCUCCUUGCCGCGACUGGCGUCGAGGUAGUCCUUAACGCAGCCGAGCGCGUCCUCCUGGAAAGCCUCGACCUUGAGCUGCUGCCCCUCAUCACACAGUCGCUGGCGCGGUCAGGUUCUGGAGGCAAAGGGCUACACAGCUCCACGCGCGCAGGGUGCCGACUACCGAGGGAGACCUGCUGCAGCCUGCAGGCAACAAGUAGUGCCGCCACCCCGCCGCGCGUGGGCAAGGCUGCCGCGGCGUCCCACGACGCGACCGUGAGCGGGAGCAGCGCAGGCAGCUCGGCACCGCCGGAUCCAGCACGCUGCAGUGCAGAGGUGGGGCACAACGACGGCGCUUGGCACCCUGUGUACGACCUGUGGCGCAAGAAGACCUGGAGGACGCCGCCGCGGCGGGCACCGCCUCCUGUAGGCGGAGGCACUCCGCGAGGCCGGCCGGGGUCCCCGGACUCCGGAGGCUCGAGCCCAAGAUGAAGAAGAGUUCAGACCGGAGCGAUGAGCAGCGUCAGCUAGACGAAAUCGAUGAAAUCGUCGUGCGAGACUGAGAGAGGAGUAGGGGAAUAGAAGGGCAAGAUGGACAUUUUGGCUCGCCGUGAGCUCCCGUUCCCACUGAACUGGACGGCAGUGGCACUGAGGUCUAAACAAAAUUGAACUGAUGUCACGAAGGGCGUGAGAACUUGGUGCGUAAAGAAUUGCCUCUUUACCAUAUACCUUCACCUGCAUAGUGUAAUAUAAUGAACUAAUGAUCAUUUCAUUUGAUCUGCACUCUGCACUGUAGAAGCUGUUGUUUUUAGUCUAUUGUUAUUAAACCUAUAAGAGAGUCUUUCACUAUGCCAAUUUUCAAAUGUCCUAAUUAGAUAAUUGCAGAGACCGAACUACCGCCGUGCCACAUUUUCGCACUAUUCAUGCUAUUGCUGGCAAUCUUUUCAUUCAGUUCAAGCCUGCCAAAAAUGCAAACAUAUGAGCAGAGAGAGACUUGCCGCCCUUUUAAUGCAGUAUAGAGGGAAGUUUAGGCUAGAAAUUUAGAACAAAUACUUGACUACUAAUGUAGCACCAACAACAGGGAUACAAGCCUAUAGCGGGCGCGGCGGAGCGCGCCGCUCUUCCAUGAGAACAGGACAUCAGUAGUUCUACCAAAUUCUUAGCGUCUACCUAUUUGGCUAUUUGAGCACAGUUUAUCUCGUAUUCACCAAAUUGAUUUUGCGACUUUGCACACUCGCUCGCACACGCAGGCGCAGCAGCGAGCAAGCCAGCUAGCUAGUCGAGGCGGAAGAAACUGAGCCAUAGCAGCAGCAGCAGCAGCGGUGGACUCCUACGUAACUUACGGAAGCUGGUUAAGGCGUACUCCUCCGUGUAGAAAAAGUAAGUCGUUUUGGACAGCGAUAUGGUCUUCAAAGUAUUACUUUGACUGCUUAUUUUUAUAAAAAUAUUUAUCAAAAAGUGAUAUAUGUAUAUUUUUAUGAAAGUAUUUUUCAAGACAAAUAUAUUUAUAUGGCUUUCACAUUUCCAAACUCAACAACUUAAAAGUUAUUCAUGAUUUAUAUUCCUAAUGUUUGAUCCAAACCUUGUCCAAAACGACUUUCUUUUCCUAUACGGAGGGAGUACAACUUUAAAGUCCGUUCGACCCAUCUAACGUAACCAUCGCAGCACAUCAAUCUUUCUUCAUAAAUAUUAUUCAACAUUUCCUUACACUUAUUCAACAAUCCGUAAGUCCUAUUUCAACAUUUCGAAUAUGCUAACUCAAUAUUGCACGGAGAUUAGAUAUUUAUUUUUGACUUGCUCCCCCACCUCACAUAGAUUUUUCCACGUGUGAUACACGCUUCAACAUUUUCUUACAACUGAUCAACAAUCUGCAAACCCUGAUACAUCAUUUCGAAUAUACUAAUUCAACAUGUCACGGGGUCAGAUAUUUAUUUAUAGUUGGCUUGGGAUGAGGUAUUUAUUUACGGUUGGAUUGCUCCGCCACCUUUUCUUAGCCAUACAUGUACUAUAACACGAAGCCAUGUAAAAAAAAUUGUGGAAGUUAUAUAUAGGUUUCCCGGCAGUAGUGGGCCUAGUGGCCCAUGAGAGACUGUCUUGGGCCGCUAGCGGCUCGGCCGCACGGCACGAGUUAGCCAUAGCUCUGUUCCACAUCUCCUUUUUCCUCUCAGCUGGAUCCUGUUCAUGCUGCUGAGCUUCCUCCUCCCCGGGACGUCCACACGGUUCCGGCAUCAGUGCUGGCAGACCGCCGCCGUGGCCUUCUUCUCGGCGGCCGUGAUCACGAGGCGGCAUCCGGUGGUCUGGUCCCCGGUGAUCCGCCGCUGGUCCGGCCAGCGGAACCAGAAGCCCAAGCCGCCGCGUCCCGUCGGCUAUUGAAGGUGAAGGCUGAAGGGGCGACGACUGACAAUGUUCGUGAAGGCGAUGGUGCUUGUCUGUUUGAUGAUGAGUUGACGAUCAAGUUCGUGAAGUAGUGAUGCUAUUUGUGAAAGUUGUUUUCCUGGAUGCUAACUAUUGGAUGAUUCGGUGAUCCGUGUAAUUGUUUCGUUUAAAGACAUCAGUACCACUUGUUGAUCACCAUGCUGUUGGAGUUCUUGGAGCUGUCCCCUGACUGCUCUGUUUCAGUGUUCCUUUGUGCAAAAUACGCAGGCCUGUUUGGGGCAACAAGUGACUUUCUUCCGUUCUCGAAGAUACGCAGGCCUGUUUGGGGCUACAAGACUUUUUUCCGUUCUCCAAGAUACGCAGGCCUGUUUGGGGCAUCUUUUCAAUAUGAUGCAACAGAUUUUAGUGAAACAAUAAUCUGAGCAAGCUAAUUGAACAUAACUUACUACGUUCCGACAACUCGCUUAGUAUUUGCUUGCUCUUAUUGUCGCCAAAGAUUCUUGCCAUGCCAAAAUCUGAUAUCUUUGGGUUCAUCGCUGCACCCAACAAAAUGUUGCUCGCCUGUGGAUGAUUGUCAGUCUUCUUAAUGGAGGCAAAGAAGACCUCGAGCAACCCCUUUGAUUAUCUUCAAACUCGUGGCCAAUCCAGGCAUCCAACGCUGAUUUUCUUGCACUAACUGCAAAAGAGCAACAUUUUCAUGAGCAAGAUGAACUGUUUUUCAGUGCUAAUUCAGCAGUUGUGUGAAGCUACUAGAACAUACUGAAAAGAGUAGCAUAUGCAAAUCUAAGCUAUGACUUACUUUGUAAACGUUGCUUAAACCUCCUUCCCCAAUCGUUGAUGCUUCAGAGACGUUAUCGGUUGCGACGAGUAUCUCAUUAUAUUUAACACAUGGGAGCGGAUGCAAUAUAUCAGGUGACCGUCUUCAGUUUUCUCAGUGGAUGCUUCUUAUUAUCGAAAAGUGUUCGAAAGAUCUGCCGCGAUACGUCAGGGGUGGGCACCAAAUGAUUUCCGUAUGAUACUUGGAGCUGUCCCGUCUCAGUUAUCGAUCAUUACCCAGCACACUUGGCUCCUGACGCGCGCAGUAGAGGCGAUGAGCAUCACCAGUUCACCAUCAUGCAUGGGUACGUUGCCCAGCUUGGCAAGACAGUGCAACUGCCACCGCCUGAGAAUGGCGUAAGGCCGGCGAAACGCGCCGGCUGGGAGAGCCUUCACCGGCCGCCGACGGUGUAUGGGGCGCCGCCGUAUGCCACGGUGGGUGGUAUGAUCGACGUUCCAUUUCGUUGUGCAGCUGUGCCAACACCUGGGAUCAACGCAACAGCGCACUAGUAGUGUAGUGACCGGGAAGAAAAUUCUAUGCGGUGGUGUCGCACCACGAUCCACCGGCGGUCACCGUCUACAAUGGCGCUGGCGCCCGACACCGUGCGUGGUUGCUACUCUCCGGCAGUCCGGCGCGCAUCGAUCGCCGGCCUUGUGCCGUUCUUGCAGACGGCCGCCACCGCCUUGCCUUGCCAAGCCUGCGAGACGUCCACCUACUACGUCCCUCCGCGACGAGCCGACGAGCCAGCCCAUCAUUUGCGGCAGCGCGCCUCCAGGACAGGUGCAUGCAUUUUAGUUGGAUCGAUCAGCCUCGUGCAAAAUUUUCAACAAAUUCCAACGACACGUCCAGCGCAAGAGGCUGUUCACUUGCACCAAAAGAAAGAGAGGGAAACAAAGAGGCUGUUCACUUGCUCUGCGAAAACAAUUGGGAGCUGUUCCUUACAUGAAUCCACCGCAUAACCGUCUCUGUCCAUCUCAGUAUCUUACUGAGAUGAUGGCAUAAAUUUAGCAAGUGUCGCGCCGCAGUAGACUAGAUACGUCAUCGAUUCAUCAUAAUAUGAGUAGCCUUGGAGUGGCAUAGAUAAGAACGACCAGAACUAGAACUGUCAGUCUCCCUUCUUAACGGUUCCUGUCAUGGUUCCGGCCGGUGCAAACCAAAUUCAAGUACGGUGUUUUUUUUUUAAAUGAACCAAGCUAAGUACGGUGUCUUGAACUUAUAGUUUACUUCCUAUGCCAAUUGAACUUUUGGACGUUACCUAGCCAACAGUGCAAUUGCAUCGACCUAAUCAUUUUUCUCGUGAGAAUACAUGCAGCAGGUUGUUGAUCCUCAGCAGUCCUUGUCAUAGUUUGGGUUCGUUUGGCAGGACUGUGGCUGAACGACUCUGGCUAUAGUUUCUUUGGUGGAGUAGCUUUUUUUCUCCGACUUAUCUGGUUGGAAAAACGUUUGGCAAAACGACUUCUCCUGGUAGUUUAAAAUUUCUUUUAUUCUCAUCUUAUCCAUUCAUCUCUGCCGGCCGGCCAUCCAUCUCUAUCUUUUAUACUCCCGCUGACCGUCUGUCCUCCUGCUGGCUGCCUCACCCCUGCUGCCAUCAAGCUCUCCCCCACCCGCGGCUCGUUCGCGCCGCGGUUGAGCUUCGCCCGCGACUCGUCCACGCCGCCGUCGAGUUCCCCACCCCGAUGCGCCUACGCGCGCCGGCCUCCUCCAUGCACCCACCAGCCAACUCGCCCCUGCCUCCAUGGUCAAACUAGGGAGUUUAACCCCGGGAGCAAGAUGGAGCCGUGGGGAGCCUAUUUUUUGGGCUCCGUCUCCAUCAAUCUGCUCCCAUCACCGUAUUUUGCGGAGCUGAUGGUGGAGCUAUUUCUUCCCCCACCCCUUGGCAAGGCUCGAAAAAAACCGGUGGUGAAGCUGGUUCGGAAGUUCUGCCAAAGGGGCCUUUAUUAGAUCUCCAGUUCUCCACCUCCACUCCAACGUGAAACCAGCACUACCACUUGAGCCUUUGAGAACGGAGAGAGAUCACAAAAAUGCUAAGCUGGCUGCCCACCUUGAUGGAUCGGCCGGCCUCAUCCUACGUCGCCGCCGUCCUCCUCUUCUUGCUUUUGCGGCCAUUAUUGUGUGCGUCCGACGACCGGCUUGUCCUCGGCAAGGCGCUCUCGCCUGGCACACCACUCGUCUCCGAUGGCGGCGCCUUCGCGUUGGGCUUCUUCUCCCCGCCCAACUCCGACUCAUCGUCACUGUACCUUGGCAUCUGGUACAACAACAUCCCAAAGCUCACCGUGGUGUGGGUGGCCGACCAGGCCGCCCCCAUCACCGGCGACCAUCUUUCAUCCACCCCACCGGGCACGCUCGCCCUGACCAAUGCCAGCAACCUGGUCUUGUCCGACGCCACCGGCCGAGUGCUCUGGACGACGAACGUCACCGCCGACGACGCGGUGGCCUCGCCGUCGUCGAGCUCGAGCCCUAUGGCCGUGCUUCAGAACACCGGCAACCUCGUCGUACGGUCCCCGAACGGCACCGCCUUGUGGCAGAGCUUCGAGCACCCCGGCGACGCCUACCUGCCCAACAUGAAGAUCGGGAUCGUCUACCGGACGCACUACGGCGUGCGCCUCGUCUCGUGGAAGGGCCCCGCGGACCCGUCGCCGGGGAGCUUCACCUUCGGCGCGGACCCGGACAGGCCCCUCGAGCUGGUCAUCUGGAACGGGACGCGCGUUCACUGGCGCAACUCGCCGUGGGAGGGCUACAUGGUGGACAGCAACUACCAGAAGGGCGGCGGCAGGUCCGCCAUCUACAGGGCGGUCUACAACAGCGACGAGGAGAUAUACGCCGCCUACACCCUCUCCGACGGCGCGCCGCCCAUGCAGUACCGGCUGAGCUACUCCGGCGACCUGGAGCUGCAGAGCUGGAGCAACGACUCGUCAGCGUGGGUCACGAUCAUUAGGUACCCUACCCGCGCCUGCAGCGCCUUCGGCUACUGCGGCGCUUUCGGCUACUGCGACAACAGCACGGACGCCGCCGUGCCGGCGUGCCGCUGCGUCGAAGGGUUCGAGCCGGCGAGCGGUGCCGGCUGGAGCCGCAGUGACUUCUCGCGCGGGUGCCGCCGGAAGGAGCCCGUGCGAUGCGCCGACGGCUUCGCGGCGGUGCCGAACAUGAAGCUGCCGUAUGGGUACACGCUGGUGGCGAACCGGAGCUUGGAGGAGUGCGCGGCGGGGUGCAGCCGCGACUGCUCCUGCGUCGCGUACGCGUAUGCGAACUUGAGCACCAGCGCCACCAAGAGGGACCCCACCAGGUGCCUGGUGUGGACCGGCGAGCUGAUCGACAUGGAGAAAGUCGUCGGGACCUGGGGUGACUUCGGUGAGACGCUCUACCUCCGGCUUGCCGGCGUCGGCGCAGGUACUGAGUAUUAUCGUUCAACUAAUCCACUCCCAUGUUUUCGUGUGGUGGCGUCAGCCUCAUAAAUAGAUUUCAUCAGACGUUUAAUUUGAUGGCUAAUGCAGAAAAGGAAAUGAGCAUUGCCUUUUUUUUUCAGGCAGGGGGGCAAGGAAAAAUGUAGUGAAAUUUGCAGUUCCGGUGCUUUUGGCAAGUGUUCUUAUACCCAUGUGCAUCUUCAUAUGUUUUCCCAAGUUCAAAGGUAAACUAUAUAUUUCUUUAUAUCUACCAGUUCCAUUACAAUAUGCGCAACAAUUAACACUUGUGCGUUCCUCAUGAGAGAAGAAAUGCUGAAGAAAAUCAACGGGGAAAAUAGCAAGAGGCGAGCAAUGCGAGUUUUGAGUAUUUCUGAUGAACUAGGGCAUGAAAUCCCUGCCCAAGAUCUUGAGUUCCCAUUCAUGAGAUAUAAUGAUAUACUAAUUGCAACGGAUAACUUCUCUGAAGCGUCAAUGAUUGGGAAAGGAGGUUUCGGCAAAGUUUACAAAGUAGGUCACCUAGUGGUAGUUUUUUGUUGUUCACAUUCACAGGUUGCUGAAAAAAAAUUUGCAUCUUGAAUUGUUUUUUGUUCCUCUAAGACUAAUAACAUACGAAGAACCUCUUUACAAUUCUGAAGGGAGUGUUAGGUUGUCGGGAAGUUGCUGUCAAAAGGCUUAGUAUUGGUUCCAAGCAGGGAUUAGUGGAGUUCAGAAAUGAGGUACUAUUGAUUGCCAAGCUACAGCACAGAAAUCUUGUUCGACUUAUCGGCUGUUGCAUGGAAGGCGAUGAAAAACUGUUGGUCUAUGAGUAUUUGCCCAACAAGAGCUUGGAUGCUACUCUAUUCAGUAUGUUCUAGUAUCUCUCCACAAGCUGCCCAGAUAGUGCUGAAACACCAGUUCAUCUUGCUCAUGAAAUGUGGCUCAUGUGCAGGCAGUACAAGAAAAUUAGUGCUGGAUUGGUCCAUGCGAUUCAAGAUAAUCAAAGGAGUUGCUCGAGGACUUCUUUACCUCCAUCAAGAUUCAAGACUGACAAUCAUCCACAGAGAUCUUAAGUCGAGCAACAUUUUGCUGGAUGCAACCAUGAACCCAAAGAUAUCAGACUUCGGCAUGGCAAGAAUCUUUGGUGACAAUCAAGAACAAGCAAACACUAAGCGGGUCGUCGGAACAUAGUAAGUUCCAUUCAAUUAUUUUGAUCAAAUUAACGUUUCAUUGAACCUGUUGCAAUGACUUAAUGUUUUCAACCCAUACUGGUCAAUUUAGUGGCUACAUGGCUCCUGAAUAUGCUAUGGAGGGCAUCUUUUCUGUGAAGUCUGAUGUCUAUAGCUUCGGCGUAUUGCUCUUGGAGAUCGUAAGUGGUGUUAGGAUAAGUUCCACUGAUUACAUUGAAGACUUCCCAAAUCUUAUAGUCUAUGUAAGUAUUAUUAUACUUUAUGAAUUCUACACAAGAUUUGAAAAUCUCAAAGUUGAUAUUCUAGGGAGGAGUAUGAAUGGAAACACCAAUCUCAAAGUUAAGGGGCUCAAAUGAAUCUGCAUGAUGUUUGUUACAGGCAUGGAACCUAUGGCAUGAUGGUAAGGCAGAGACUAUGAUAGAUUCAUGUGUUGUGUCAGGUUGCAUUGUGGAUGAAGCUAUGCUUUGUAUCCAUGUAGCACUACUGUGUGUUCAGGAAAACCUGAAUGAUCGGCCAACCAUGUCGUCUGUUGUGCGUAUCUUGGAUAAUGGAAGCAAGUCACUUCAGGCGCCAAAUAGGCCUGCAUAUUUUGCAGAAAGGAAUAAUGAAGCAGAGCAGACAGGAGACAGCGCCAAGAACUCUAACAACACUGUGACUCUUACAGUUCUGGAGGGACGAUAGAGCAAUCUUGGUGUGAGUCAGAUAUGAUGGCGGUGCCGGGCGAGAGCCUCUCGCCUGGGGCAAGCUUGUCAUCGGAAGUGCACAAGGCCGGCAAGAGGAGGAAGGCUGCGAUGCAGAUAGAAACGGAAUUCAUGGUGGCAGACUCGCUUUGGUGCUACGUUGUGAACGAGAAAUCUUCCUGAGAGUUGUAGUGGAGAUGCAAGUGAGCAGCUGACUACUUGGAACUUGGAAGUCUUUGGUUCGUGCGCAAUGAUGCAACACUUUUAACAUUUUCUCGUAGAUCAUAUGUAAUGGAGUUGAAUAACCUAGUACAUUAGCAGUUCAGUUGUACACAUCGAAGCAGUUGUUACUUUGCCUCUUUUUAGAGUUGUUAAUGUAGCAUUCGCUUCGCUGCCUAUUGUGUGGAUCGCCUGCCAUUUUGAAGUGUUGCUUAUGUACUCUGUGACUAAGGGUGCGUUUGGUUCUAAGAACAAAGUGGGACGGGAUGGGACGGGAUGAUCCCACUUCAUCCCACGUUUGGUUGGAAGAUAUAUGGGACGGGAACAUUCCUAUGAGGGAAUAUACCCUCCAGAUCCGGGAUGACCCCGUCCCAUCAAAACGAGCGAACGGGGGCAUCCCACUUCGCUCCCGAGGGGAGGGCGGAGGCGGCGCGGCGUGGCGAGCCUGCCAGCAAGGCUGCCGCCGGAGCCGAGGGAAGGGCGGGGAGGGGAGGGGAGGUUGGGGGCGGCCGUCGGAGCCCGAGGGUCUUGUUGCGGGGGCGACGCUGUGCGGCCCGAGGGCAGGGCGGCGGCAGCGUGGAGCAGUGUGACAUCCUGGCCCAAGGCUUAAUAGAAUUGAUAGAAUACUCAUACCAACAAGUUGCAACUUCUUUUCCGGAAACUCAUCCUCAAAGAACUCCGGGGUUAAGCGUGCUUGGCCCGGAGCAAUUUCAGGAUGGGUGACCGACCGGGUGCGCACGAGUGAGGACAAAGUGCACAGAAAAGACUUGUGUUGGUCUGUGAGGGAAUUCUUGAUAUCCUAGAGAGCUGCCAGGUGUAACUAAAAAGGAAAAAUAAAAUAAAAUAAAUGUAUAGAGAAUGACAUGUGGGGUCAAAAAUACUGUAGCUAACGGUGUCAAAAAUUUUAUCCAUAUCAUCCACCUCAACCUCUCCAACCAAACACAAGACAGGACCGUCCCAUCCUAUUUCAACCAAACACUAAACGGGACCAUUCCAUCCCACAAAACUGGAACGGCACCAUCCCAUCCUAUAUUGUCUCCCAUCCAAACACAUACUAAGUAUAUGUUGUCAGCUAUGGGUCGCUGUUGGAUCGGACUUACAGCCGCCCCCCAAGUGUGGGAUCUGAUCAUUUAAAAUGACCGCCGUCUGAUGGUAAUUGGUUUGGGUCAUCUCUGAUUAGGUUGCAGUACGAACAAAGCUUUCUGAUAAAUAGACGUGACUCCUAUAUGCUUUCAAGUGGGGAUGUAGUCGCAGUCGAUGUUAACACUACUGUAUUGGAUACAAACCUUAUCGGACCAAGACGAAAGACCUGAUAUGACCGACUAUCGGUGAUAAUUAUAAUAAUAAAUUUCAGUGAUUCAAAUUUGAAAAGAGGAGGAUAUCUCUACAGCUAAAAAAGCAAAACCGAGUAAAAACUUUUUUGGUCCGCCAUCCAUCCCUUCGCCUGUUCGUUACCUCUGUUCGCGUUCGUGCUGAUCACCUAUGCCGUCGAUCCGAUCGAGCCCUUCCGCGACGUCCCUCACCUUCCCACCACGAUCGUGCCUUCAACGGUGGCCCUCCGAUCCAACCCUAUGCGCCCUCCCUCAUUGCCUCACGCAGCCAUCGCCACCGCCUUGCCUCCGCCAUCGACCACGCCAUCGCCUCGACCACACGCCGCCAUCACCUCCACCUCGCGCCGCCAUCUCCUCCAACAUGUGCUGCCGUCUCAUCCAACCAGGGGCUAAGGUCUCCUCCGACCCGGUGCCAUCGUUUCCUUCAGCUCGGCAUUGAGGUCUCCUCCAAUCCGACGCCACCCUCUCCCCAACCCUGCCGGCGCCGCCGUCGCCUCCCGGAUCAUUUAUACACGUCCACCCUUGCGACCGUCCGCCGCGGCGCCGCCCGGCCGCUGCCACCACAGGUUCGGUGGCCCCUAGAUGCCGACGAAGUGGGCACUCGCCCUACAUCCCAUCCCAGCGCGGGAGCAGCCGUCGGAGAGGGAGGUCGGUUCCCUGCGUAGCUGCCACUCAACCUCAAUUGACCGAUAAGAGUAAAGCUUUUUCCUCAAUCAUCCUCCAGUUGUGAUUAUACAUGGCUACUACAGCUCAUCCUCAAUUAGUCUCCAUAUUCAUGAAUCAGAAAGCGCAAAGCGCAUAUUUGUUGGUUACUUGAUUAAAGCAUUCCUCAUUGUAGGGAAAAUGUUAAUCUAUAACCGAAGGACUGCAUUGCUCUUGAUGUGAACCUGCAUACAUUUCCGUAACUGAAGGAUUAGCUGCAGAAAAGGAUUCUCAGGUUUCUCCAUUGUAUAAAACCAGUCGCGCAGAGUAUUGCUCUUGGUGUUUGGAAAUAGAUAUAUGGAGGCCAUUCUUUUUUCUCACUAUUCUACAGAGGUUUAGAAAACCUAUUGUUGUGAACAUAAGUAGAUUUCUGCUACUGUUUAAAGUAAAUGUGCUAUUCAGAACAGUCAUGAGUGUUAGAUUGUAAUUAUCUGUGUGUACACUAGUGGGCCCACGGGCCCUGUUAUGUGUAUGGGCUGGCUGGCAGCCCGCCCGUGGGCGCCGCCAGCCCUGACACCUAACCCUAGCCGCCCCCCUGCGCUUGGUCUCCCAGGCCUAUAUAUGGUUGUAGCCUGUGCUCCUGUAUAAUCUAAUCUAAUCUUUCCUCGCCUCAAUAUCUCUUUCAAUGAGGUUUAGAAAAUCUACAUGUUUGGGACUUCCUUGAAUGCAAAAGGAAUCAUUCAAUCUAGCAUUUUCUAACAUACAAUCCCUUCGUUCUCACCAGGAAAAAUACCGUGCUGUCCGGUUCAACCCAAACUUGUGGUAAUCGGGUCAAAAGGUUUGCAAAUGGGAGACUGAACAUCACUUUCCCUCUACUUCUUAAAUUUGAUUUGUGAUCAAACUGGCCUGAAAACACAAAAAUGUCUCAAAUAAACAGAUGACUAAUGAGGUCGGAAGGUCAUUGUUUGCUAAGGCUGGAGAACUGGGAGUGCCAGUUGGAAUAAUGGUGAUGAAGGUAAAAAACGCAUUCCUCUGUUAGAUGUAUGUGCAGUUACUAUUGGACUUUGGGAUUCCAACAGCAAGAAUAAUGUAGCAAUAUGUUCACAUGGUAAAGAGGAGAAGAAGGGCUCAUAUUCGAACAAAGAUUCACAUAUUAUAUUUUUUCAGGUUGUGCCAUUCUAAAGCCAGAAGAACCGAGGAAACUAAUAGUUCAGACAAAUGCGAAUUUUUAACCCUGUUAGUUACACAAGUUACAUGAGCUUCAUGAAAAUCCUGUUUGCAUCUUUUUUGCAAAAUAAAAUUGUAUGAAUAGGCUCCUUGAAUAUAAAGCAACAGGGACUUAAUUAUGCUCUUUGUUACAAAGUCAGAAUUAUAUAAUUAUUCUUUGUUGUUCUUGUGUAUGCAGGGAAUUGUUCUAUAUAUUCAGGAAAUAGAUGUUGUGGACAACUUCUUUGGCAAGAAGUUCCACUGCAGGAACAAGGGCCCACCUCCUCCAGGAGAUGCUAGUUAGUUUAGAUUCAGAUUAGAGAUAGAAUUGGAAUUAGUUGGGAUUUUGUAAGCCGGCUCAUUAUAUAAGAGUCCUGGCGCUUUAGAUUAGGUUUAAGCAGAAGAUAAACCUCAGAGCUCAGAGCCUCCUAGGGAGGGCGAGCAGGUUGUUUAUCAAUCUGCUCAUCAUGUUCUUAGUCAAUCAACUAGCCAUAUCAAUAGAGGAGCUAUGUAGGGAUUAUCCUGAAACUACUGUUAUUCUUGAUCAUAUGGCUUUCUGCAAGGCACCAACGUAAACUUGUGUUUUUGCUUGUUCAUAGUCUGUGUGAAUGUAGUCAUAUGAAGCUAUAGCCUGUAGUAGCUUAUAUUGCAUUACAAUACAAGGACAACUAAGAAGAGAGGGCAUUCUCAUCAUUUCUAAACUUAUCCUGAUUCCCACAGGUAAUCUCCAAAACCUCUUUAUUUUGUCCAUUGGCAGAUCAAUGUGGUCAUGAAAAAAAGUUUUUAUUGUGCAAAUGAGCCUUUUUCAGUACCAGCUGACAUUAGCACCCUCAGAUUUUGUUGUCAGAGAUCCAGGGGCAGUAACACUAUUUCGUGAGGGGCAAUACCUAACCUGAUUUAUUGUCAAGUAAUGGCAUCAUGAAUAAAGUGCCAGAUUGUAGAAGUUGUGCAGUUAAUUCCAUUCCUUCUGCUUCUGUAACAUUAUACUUGCUCUAAUGCCAUGAUCCGUUACUUCAAAAGUUUAUGUCAAAUAUAGUGCUCUUUUCCGCAUCUCAAGUGAAGCAUAUCCAUACGAAGAUACUGCUCAGCUUCUUUCCUGUGUGAUAUCUAACUAUGGAGCCAAUCGAAUAAUGUGGGGACGGUGAAUUCACAUACCCACCGAUAGUUUCAAUUGGUCAUAGACUCCAACAGUGCUUAUGAGAAACCACUCUCAGUUAACUGAUAGCAUGCUCUGAAGUGUCGGAUCAGCAAAUUUGUCCAGUUUGCUUAAAAAAAAGAUGGUGUAGUGGAGUGGAGUGUAGUGUUGCUGGUAGGAUAAUAUAUUCCGGAGGAGCUAAAUCAAGAUUUUGUAAACAAGUAUUAGUUCCUGCAAUGAUCUGUGCCAUCACACCAACUUGCUCGAUAUGUGUUUAUUGUAAUGUUUUAGAAUAAAUAUAUUCUGCAUUAUGUUUAACUCUAACAGGCUUCUACUCUGUAGCUGUUUUGCAGAUUGCAGCAAGACUAAUUUCCAGUGUGUGGACAUACAGUCCAACUUUGCAAGGGAAAGUAUACUGUAUUAAGCAUCCUAUCAUUGCAAUUAUUCUAAUUUAGUUUUGCUGUGCACUAGAUUUACUUAAUCAAAACCUUAUUUUCUUUUACUACUGAGAUAUGUAACCAAAUCAUGAAGAUGUGAUACCAGAUGUACACUGACAUUGCUUUCAGCCAAGUGUUUAGUACAGGAAAUUUCCCAUGAUGAUACCCUAGCCAUUUGUGCACUGGCAAUGAUCCCUCGAUACCUUAAAGGUACUGAAAUUUCAUUUCCAAUAAUUUUUGAGUAAUGUUUGUCAUAGGGGUUCUUUUUUAAUUGAUAAUGGAGAAAUUCAAAUGAAUUAGCUUCCUGAACUACUAGAACCAUAUUUACACCCAGUCCCAACAAUUUCUUUAAUAUUGAUAUAUCUUCAGUAGGCAUGUGAGUGUGCAAAAUCAUUUCAAUUCUAUUAGCAGCGCAUUGACUCAGAGCUAGGAGUGGAAUAUUUUGUCUGCGGAAGAUGCUUCCUCUAAGCCAUAGGGAAGUAUUCAGGUGCAUCCCCUGCUCCGAUUACCCUUUCAUAAUGAACAUAUAUACAUAUGACACUUGCAGCUGUUGGAGAUCAAGUCAUCAGCUACUGAGGAUAGACGAAGAUUAAGCAAUUAAAGAAGCAAGAAGAUUUUGCUAAUCACCUUCUGUUGCCUGGUUUGGUAUCUCAAUGGAACAAGCGGGUCUUCAUUUUUCUGAUUGAUGAAACUGAAGAUGCAAUCAAAUAGAGGAACAUCACACUGGAUCAUGCUGUAUGUUGUACAGUAGUCAGUAGAAUAUACGGUUCCUAUUUAGUUGAUUGUAGUGACAAAAUAUGUAUAUGCAAGGUGUAUCGUAGUCCAUAUAUGCAUCUAAAGUAAAUAAUGAUCUGACUAAAGUAAUGUAAUAUUUGUUCUUAUUUUCACACUAAUAUUAUCCUGUUAGAUGCUCCCACAUAUCGCAACAUUAAUAUUUUGUAGCCCGUAGCAAUGCACAGGCACGAUCCUAAUAUAAAAAAAUGAUUGGUAUUCAACUAAAAAAUAUCGAUAGGUUUUACCAUACAUUUCAAAUGAUGGUCCCACAUGGCUUUUCUUUGUUUACAAAUUUAAAUGGUACUGAAUUUUUGAACGGUUCACCAGUUUAUUGGCCCUGCCCCAGCCAAUAUUGCUGAUAACUUAUAAUGUCGAAGAUAUAUCGUUGAUUCCUAGCAUUGGCGCAUGUUUUUUCCCAAAUUUCAUACCACUGAUGAAAAUGGGGACCAACCAAUUCACAGGAAUUGAAAAAAAAUAAAAACAAAAUUUGGUAUUUUCAGCCUUCGAAUUGGGAAAUUUCCCUUGCCAGGCAACGAGAAAACCAUUGAGCUGUAGCCUAACUUAUGAAAACCAAUUCUAUAGAACCUUUAAUAAGCAUUCUAAAUACUUUAAAUAUUCAAUUUGAGGAAAAAUGACCGAAAAAUCUCCAAAUUUAGAGAUUUUUUUGUGAAGUUUGCUUUUCGAUGGAGACAAAAGAAAAAUCAUAAAUCGAAAUUGGAACCCAUGGUUCUAACGGUACGUAAGGUCAGAGUCUCUUCCUUCAUGGGAAAGAUUUUCUAGGUAUUGAGGGGACAAAUAAAAUUGUCAAAAUCCAUCUUUAUUUUAAAUUAACUAUAAGUGCUAUCUAUACUAUGAGGUAUUUUUAGGACAUGAUGCGUUGGAAAAUGAGUGUAACCGUAGUUUAAGGCUGUUUAAUCAGCUGGGCACAACUUCUGAAAAACCUUGAAGUUCUCACGUUGAAAGCAUAUAGGACUGGAGCCACACCUAGCUUCUUCUUCUGUUUUCUACUGUAAAAUAAAAUGCCCGUGCUGUGAAUUUAUCCGCGAUGACCCACUUCAAAACCAAUUACGAUCAGACGGCGAUUCUUUUUAGAUGAUGAGAUCACAGCCCCCUCUGGAAGUGUAAGCUGAUGCCUGACGCUGACGGCAAUGACUGCAUUACCGGCCAUAGACAGCUCAAAUGUCACCACCAACGUUUUAUUUGUGCUGUCUAGGAAACAAUAACCAGCUUACUGUAGAUACUAGACUUCUGCAUUAUUGCCUGCAGACCAAGUCCUAGUAUAUCCUUGGGUUGUGAGGCUUGCCAUGAGCUGGAAAUUUGUCUGAUGCUCCCACAUUUUAGAGUUUGGCCGCGCAGAUGCCACAGCGACCUGUAAUUGACAACAUAUGCUCAGUGUCAGAGAGUACGUUAACAACACUUGAAAAUGGCAAUUUGGGUAUCCACAGUAAGCAACGAUGGAAGUACAGAUUUAACAAUCUGAAGGUGGCAAAGGAACAAGUGCUACGAUGUGUACAGCUCAACUGCAAUUGUAUUAUGUCAUAGUCUAUAUAUGGUUUAGUACAGCUCAAGUGCUGCAUAUUAUUAUUCGAACCAAGGCUGCAGGAGUUUAUGUUAGUCUAGUACCCAGUAGCUAGUUGCACACUCCCCUACAUCUCGACGGCCAUUUUGAGUUAGAGCUCCACUAGUUAACACUGCAGAAAGUUUUUGCAUCCAUGAGUUCCAUUUCCAUCUGGAUCGCAGCUAUCCUCCUCUUGCCAACCUUGUGCGCUUCCGAUGACCGGCUUGUCCCAGGCAAGCCGCUCUUACUUGGCUCCACCAUCACCUCUGAUGGUGGCGACUUCGCCCUGGGCUUCUUCUCCCCAUCCAAUUCCACUCCGGAGAAGGUCUACCUCGGCAUAUGGUACAACAACAUCCCUCGGCUUACCAUGGUGUGGGUUGCUAACCGGGAAGCACCGGCCAUCUCCUCCUCAGCUCCUUCGCUUGUUCUGACCAACACCUCAAAUCUUGUCUUGUCCGAUGUGAAUGGCCGUGUCCUCUGGACAACCAACACCACCACUGCUGCUGCAAGCUCCUCGCCAUCGCCAAGGUCGAAUGCUACUGGGUCGGUAGCAGUGCUUCUGAACACAGGCAACCUCAUUCUUCGGUCGCCAAACGGCACGACGCUGUGGCGGAGCUUCGACCACCCGGCAGACACUCUCCUCCCAGGCAUGAAGAUACGGAGGAGCUACAAGACACAUGAUGGCAACCGCCUUGUUUCUUGGACUGGACCGGAGGAUCCCUCGGCGGGCACCUUCUCCUUCAGUGGAGAGGCAGACCCGUUUGCGCAGGGCUUCAUCCGGAAUGGUUCACAACCAGUGUGGCGCAGUCCUGUAUGGACAGGCUACAUGGUCUCCAGCCAGUACUUUCAGGCGAACACCAGAAUUGGUAUCUACAUAGCAUAUGUGGACACCGUCGACGAGGUGUCCAUGGUCUUCACCGUCUCCGAUGGUGCUCCACAUGUGCGGUAUGUGAUGAGCUACUCUGGCAGGCUAGAAAUAUUCAGUUGGAACAGGGAUUCAUCAAAUUGGACCAUGCUUACGGCAUGGCCGAGCCACGAGUGUAGCAGGUACGGCUACUGUGGGUUCUCUGGCUACUGUGACUACACGGAGGCUACCCCGACUUGCCAGUGCCUUGAAGGGUUCGAGCCCGUGGAUGCGGGAGAAUGGAGCACCGGCAGGUUCGAGCAGGGCUGCCGGCGAAAGAAGCCACUGCGAUGUGGGGACAGUUUCUUGGCAUUGCCGGGUAUGCAGGUGCCUGACAAGUUUGUACGCAUCAGGAAGAAAGUCCUCAGUGAGUGUGAAGCGGAAUGCAGAAAUAAUUGUUCUUGUGUGGCCUACGCAUAUGCAAAUUUGAACAGCAGCAUAAUGAAGGAUGACCCGACAAGGUGCCUUGUGUGGAUUGGUGACCAGCAGCUAAUUGACACACAGAAGAUAGGUGUGACUCCCUAUAGUACUGCUGGUGCUGACAGUCAAGAGACGCUAUAUCUCCGAGUUUCAGGCAUGCCAGGUACCAUUUCAUAUCAGAAGAACUUCUAUCAGAGGCAUAAACCAAGCAGACGUGCCCAUAUAUAUCAGGGGCAUUCCCACUUGUGGCAUGGUGUCUUAUCAUGUUAUCCUAACGGCCUUACCACACUAUCAUCUUAGUACCUAGGUCUCUUUCCUAAAUAUGCAGGUACAUGACACUAGUUUUCCAUGAAAAUCAAGGAGCUAUCUAUUGACCACUGGAACUAGUUCAGAGGUUUCUGUUCAUGGAAAGUUGGAAAGUUGGCAGCUGGUUUCUGUUCAUGGAAAGUUGAAAACUAGUGUCAUGGAAAGUUGGCAGCUGGUUUCUGUUCAUUUUAUCUGGCUUGUGAAGUUGGCACCAAGAUCAUGGAAAUUUUGGUUAAAACAUAGAUACUGGAAAUCAUGCACAGUAGGGCAGUGGUAACUAGCUAGCUUUAGAAUCUGCUCACACCCUAGAACCAUAUGCUGAUCAUUAUAUGACUACAUGCAUAUUGCGGUCAAUCUACUGAACCGAGAUAUGAAGCUUUCUUUUCUUUCUCAGUGAUCUUAAUUUCUCGUGCAACAUCUAGUUAAGGUGUCAUGUUAAUUCUUACUGGUCAUUAUUUUAACAAAAAGGUACUACUGUGUAAUGUAAGAAUGUAGCACUAAGCGCUUGUUCGGUUGUUUGAAGACUGAAAUCUGUAGUUGCAUGAUAUUAACUUGGUGCUAUAUAAAUAUAUAUGAAUAAUUUUUGCAUUGUUUUGAAGGUGGAAGGACAAAAAAAAAUACAAAUGUAGUGAAAACUAUACUACCAAUUCUAGCGGGUGUUACUGUCCUCACUUCCAUUUUACUUAUAUGGGUCUGCAAGUUCAGAGGUUUGUUUUCCAUUCUAUAUACUGAUUGCAGUUACUUAAGAACAAAUACUCACCAACUUUUGGGAGCAGGAAGGAAAAGAAAUGUGGAAAUUCACAAUAAGGUAAUGCUUGGUGGUUCUUCAGAAGAACUUCGAGAAGAAAACGCUACCCAUGAUUUUGAACUUCCAUUCCUGAAAUUUCAAGAUAUCCUUGUUGCAACAAACAAUUUUUCCAACAUAUCUAUGAUUGGACAAGGAGGUUUCGGCAAAGUCUACAAGGUAAUUAUUUACGCUAGGACUUUCUCUGCUUUUCCUAGUUUAAUUCUUGAAUCAAGCAACUGCACUACAUACCACAAUCUUACCUUUCUUUGAUAAUUACAAAGGGGACACUUGAAGAUGGUCAAGAGGUUGCAAUCAAAAGACUUAGUAGGGACUCAGACCAAGGAAUACAGGAGUUCAGAAAUGAAGUUAUUCUAAUUGCCAAACUACAACACAGAAACUUGGUUCGACUUCUUGGUUGCUGUGUUGAGGGAGAUGAAAAGCUACUGAUUUAUGAGUAUUUGCCCAAUAAAAGCUUGGAUGCUGUAAUUUUCAGUAUGUUCAGUUCAUAUUCAUUUUUCACCAGAGUUUAUAUAGAUCUGAGCAGCUAUAAAUUAUCCUCUUCAUAAACAUGACAUAUUUAUUAUUUGUAGACUGUGAACAGAAUGCAGCACUUGAUUGGCCACUAAGGUUUACAAUAAUCAAAGGAAUUGCUAGGGGGCUUCUUUACCUCCAUCAUGAUUCAAGAUUAACAAUAGUUCAUAGGGAUCUCAAAGCUAGUAAUGUGUUGCUAGAUGCAGAGAUGAGACCCAAAAUAGCAGACUUUGGUAUGGCAAGAAUCUUUGGUGACAACCAGAAAAACGCAAAUACAACACGAGUUGUUGGGACAUAGUAAGCACUACUUAUUGCUCAAACUAACAUAUGAUUGAACCAAAUUCAUCUUUAUGACCUUUGCAAAUGAACCUCACCAGUGGUUAUAUGGCUCCUGAAUAUGCAAUGGAGGGUAUUUUCUCUGUGAAGUCUGAUGUCUAUAGCUUUGGCGUGUUACUUUUGGAAGUUGUAAGUGGUAUAAAGAUAAGCUCUGUUGAUCGCAUCAUGGGUUACCCAAACCUAAUUGUCUAUGUAAGCAAAUAUGAUUACCUUUUUUUAAUUGAGGUAAAGGAUUUUGAAACUUCCGGAGUUAUACAAUCUAAAUGACUGUGAUUGUUUCAGGCAUGGAACCUUUGGAAGGAAGGGAAGGCAAAGGAUUUGGUAGACAAGUGUAUUGUGGAGAACUGCUUACUAGAUGAAGCCUCACUUUGCAUCCACAUGGGGCUCUUGUGUGUUCAGGAAGAUCCUGAUGAUAGGCCAUUCAUGUCUAAAGUUGUGUUCAACUUGGAGAAUGGAUGCACAGCGCUACCAAAGCCAAAUCAUCCUGCAUAUUUCGCGCGGAGAAAUAGUGACAUGGAGCAAUUAAGUGAAGACAUCUUAAACUCUAAGAACACAGUGACUCUUACAGCCAUAGAUGGGCGAUAAAAUAUUUCUCAUGUUAGCUGUACACCUUUUGUCAAGCUUAAUGCUGCAAUGAGAUAACUGCAUUGCUAGUAAUCUCGAUGCUAGAUUAUGUGUGGGAAACCAAACCCAGUCUGGAGUGAAAUAUGAUAAAAAGCUAUAUGAGGCUCAAAGCAUGGCAGUGAUGCAACAGAAAGUCAGAAAACAUACAUAGCACUUGUAAAACGGCAUGGCAAUUGAAACUUUUGGACUUACUCAAAAUGCUUCAGGUUUCACAAGGGCAGCCAACGCAUGGGGUUCCUUACUUCCUUAGCAUGUAUCAGGACAUAAUCAAGCACCUUCCAGAACAACGCAUCCUUUUCCAGAGCAUAAUUAUUUACUGAAUGGGGAAAUAAUACAGCUGCAGCCUACAAAAUGAAGACAUGCCAAUAUGCCAUCAGUAUUUACAAGGCUACAAGCACCACCUUUCGUAGAGUAUUUACUUGUCAAAGUAAGAUGUGAAACCUCUUGCGAGUGUCAGGGGAUGCCAUGCCACCGUUGCUUGUCGCUCCCACUGACCGAGUAGGCUGUUUGACCACUUUGACGCGGCAUCGCCGAUGCCACAGAUACCAAGCACGCCACCUUCCGCACAUCAAUUGCGCCGCACCAACAGACGGUGUUCCCGCGGAUAGGGAUAGCUAGUUAGCUACCACAAACACGAUCCUGUCCACUAUACAUGGUGGAACGUGGUGCAGCCCGCCUAGUGACACAGACACACAGUGUACCAGCCGCUGGACGCCGUGCCGGGGGGGGGGGGGGGGGGGGGGGGGCGCGGUGAUUGGGACAGUUCAGGCAUUCUGUCGAACAGGUGGAAGGCGUUGCGCCUUGCCUGUUUGCUGGCUGAGGCUGACGCUUUUGGAUUGGACACGGCCAACAGAAGAGGCCGAAUGAGUCUGUGGAUGAGAACAUGAGGGCGGAGGGACACCCGGCGCCGUCGACGGAGAGAAUGUCGCGAGCGGCACAGCUUUGGCUGAGACUGUCUCGUGUUCUCCUCUGCCGUGUCGCCACAUUUUGACAAAAAAAAAAAAGCACUCUCAGCGCUAUGGCUCCGUUAAAAUGUUCGAUGCCUCCUUGAACCUUUGAUCAUCUCGAAAUUUUCGAUCGGUAUGGAAGCUAGGUUUGUUCGGAGGGUACAACAAGGACGUAUUCAACCAACGCACUCUACACUCACACUGCACGUCCAUACACACGUUUACGGAAAAGAUUGGGAGACCUAAACCUCCAAUGCACGGAAACGUGUAGUACCACUUACGCGCACGCGUGUGUACCUAGUGAACUCAGGAAUAAUCCUGAGCGAAACUGAGGAAAAACCCCAGUGAAGCACCUAGGUCCGAUCCCAGGGAUCGAACCCGGGCAGGCUGGGUGAACACCCUCGCCAGCAGCCACCCGAGCUAAGCUUGGUCUUCGGUAUGGAAGGUAGGUGUGAUCCACGACGUCAAACGCGCGGCGGUUUGUUUGCCUCAAUUACUCUAUCAGUUUUCUCUUGUUGCUUAUCUGCAAUGUGUGGCCUCACCCACGCGUUAGUGGCAGUUAAACAGCCCAGAAGCCCACUUGUCUAACCGAGCUCCAAUUCAUGCGGCAACACCCAGGUCAAAGGUUCAAAUCCGUGGUCAACUUGCAUUCGGAGUUAGAGUCUGUUUGGAGGACUUCGACUCCUGUAAAAAAAAUAGCUCCAGCUGUGACUCCUCAUGUCCGCUCGCUAGAAGGAGCCGCUGAAGGAGCCCUACCAGGCCUUUGUAUGGACUCAUGUCCGCUAGUCAACGAGGAUUUCCCCGUGUUCAAACGCUAGGUCACCGCAGUCUAAUCCGGAUAGAGGCGAGGCAUCAGCACCAACAAGGACUUCUGCCUGGGGCCCAUUUUCUUGUCAGCGUGUUCUAUGUAAAAAGCUCAAACUCACGUACUGAUGCUCCAGUCCAUCUAUGGAAUUCUAGCGCCGGUGGUUCACGACGCCUCGAGGGCUACUUUUUCUCAAGAAAGGAAACAACUUUUGGUCUCAACUAGUCUAAUAUAGUACAUAUAGUACACACAUCAAACACAUACACAAUAAUAUCGAUGAAGUCACUCCAAGGAGGUUUCCUCCGCAGUGUUUUGGUGACGUUGCGAUGACUGUCUGGCCGGUGAUCCUGCACAAAUGCAAGAAAUUGAUGUUAAAUGCUCGGGUAGAUUUUGGUUUUACCAGGCGAGGUAUCAUGCUACUGCACUAUUAGUUUGUAGGAAGCUGCAACGCAGUUUACUCGUUGCAAAGUUUGACCAAGUAGAUUCUACAGACGGCCGGCCUAAUUAAAUUCGUUGAUGGUGGGAAUGCAUUAGUAAAUUUUGAUUGAAGGUGGCAUUGUGGUUUCGGACGACGACCUCAUCUCCACACUUCUUCUGGAUGCAUGCACCCAUAAGGCCAGGUAAAACGACAACUUUCUCUAAGAAAAUAACACCACGUACGGUGGUAACAACCCAUUUCGAGGUGUACAUCUCAACUAUGACCAACAUAUUUUGACUAGAAUGUUUGAAUUCACUAUAGUCUACGAGAAACCUGGAAAUUUUGCAUUCUUUCGUGCACACCAAGCGCGCAGGAGCUUGCUAUAUAUACUAUAACAAGUAGUCGCUUGCGCUCCUACCAACUCUAGCGCUUUGAUGGAUAAGACUAGCAAACUCACUCAGAGAGCCAGAGACACCGCAGCAAGUCCAAUGGCAUUCGUGAGUUCCAUUUCGGUUUGCACCAUGGCUCUCCUCCUCUUGGCGGCCCUGUGUGCUAAUUCGGAUGACCGGCUUGUCCCAGGCAAGCCGCUCUUGCCCGGCACCACCAUCGUAUCUGAUGGCGGUGACUUCGCCUUUGGCUUCUUCUCCCCAUCCAAUUCCACUCCGGAGAAGCUAUACCUUGGCAUAUGGUACAACAAGAUCCCCCGGCUCACCGUGGUGUGGGUUGCUAAUCGGGCAACACCGGCCAUCUCCUCCUCAGCUCCUUCUCUUGUUCUGACCAACACCUCUCAUCUUGUCUUGUCCGAUGUCAAAGGCCGUGUUCUCUGGACAACCAAAGCCACCAAAGCUGCAAGCUCCUCAAAAUUGCUGAAACUGAGUACUACCGGAUCAGCGGCGGUGCUUAUGAAUACAGGCAAUCUCAUCCUCCGUUCACCGAACGGCACAAUGCUAUGGCAAAGCUUCGACCAUCCGACUGACACUCUCCUCCCGGGUAUGAAGAUAUGGAGGAGCUACAAGACUGAUGAUGGCAACCGCCUUGUUUCUUGGAAAAGCCUAGAGGACCCCUCGCCAGGCACCUUCUCCUACAGUGGAGAGACAAAAUUAUUUCCGCAGAGCUUCAUCUGGAACGGUUCGCACCCAGUAUGGCGUAGCCAAGUAUGGACAGGGUACACGAUCAGUACUAGUCAGUACUACCAGCUGAACACUAGCAUUGUGGUAUACCUAGCAUGUGUUGAUACUGUCGAUAAGAUAUCCAUGGUCUUCACCGUGUCUGAUGGUGCACUACCCAUGCGGAUUGUGAUGGGUUACUCUGGCAGGUUAGAACUACGAGUUUGGAAUAAUAGAGUUUCAUCGGAGUGGGCAAUGCUUGGAAUGUCGCGGCCGGACUAUGAUUGUAGCAGGUACGGCUACUGCGGGCUCUCCGGUUACUGCGACUAUACAGAUGCUACCCCAACUUGCAAGUGCCUUGAUGGGUUUCAGCCCGUGGACAAGGAAGAAUGGAGCAAUGCCAGAUUCUCGCAGGGAUGCCAGCGAAAGGAGCCCCUUCGAUGUAGUGAUGGUUUCUUGGCGCUGCCAGACAUGAAGGUGCCUGACAACUUUGUGCGCAUUGGGAGAAAGACCUUCAAGGAAUGCGCGGCUGAGUGCAGUGGCAAUUGCUCUUGUGUGGCGUACGCUUAUGCGAGUUUGAAUGGCAGCACAUCAAAUGGCGAUGCGACGAGGUGCCUUUUGUGGAUUGGUGAUCAUCAGCUUGUUGACACGCAGAAGAUGAUGGCAGUACAUCCCUAUAGCACUGCUGGUGCCGAGAGUCAAGAGACGCUGUAUCUCCGAGUUGCAGGCAUGUCAGGUACCAUUUCAUAUCCCAUCUUAGCACUGAGGUCUAUUGCCCAAACUAUACAAUAACAUAAUAACACCACUAGUUAGUUUUCCAUGAAAAUCAAGGAGAAAUAUAUCUGUAGUCCACCGGAACUUGACUGUUCCAUUUAUCUGGUAUGUAAAAUAAGACCUACGAUCAUGCAUGACAACACGUAAUAGGACAGUGUGGCAACUAAUUUGGAGUCUGCUCACAUCCUUGAACCGUAAGCUGAUCACAAGGUAUGGCUACAUGCAUAUUAUUGGAGUCAAAUAUAUAUUGAAUAUAUACUGAACUGAGAUUCAUAAUAGUUUCUCGUACAACAUUAAGUUUAUGGAGUGUUCUUAAUUCCUAGGCCGUUAUUUAAUGAAAAAGGUACUAUUGUGUGUAACGCAAGACCAUAGCACUUGUUCGCCUGUCUGAAGAUUGAACUCUGCAGUUUUAUGAUAUUUUUUUUUGAACGGAACGGCAAGAGAUUUGCUGUAAUUUUUAUUAGAAGAAGGGAAUAAAACACAAAGCCCAAAAAGCAAAAAGAAAAUACACGACUCGGCAUGCCCUCACCCGAGACGACUCAACAGCACUAGAGCCGGCACAAAAACUAAAAACUAUAUGAAAAAGCUUUUGCACUGAUUUGCAGGUAAAAGGACAAAAAGGAACACACUAAAAGUUGCGCUACAAAUUUUAGCAGGUGCCGUUGUUCUCACUUCCAUUUUACUUAUAUGGGUCUGCAAGUUCAGAGGUAUGUUUUCUUCCAUAUGCUAAUUACUAACCACAGUUACUCAGGAAUAAGCUCUUAACAACUUUUGGGAGCAGGAAGGAAAACAAAUACGGAAAAUCACAAGAAGCUAAUGCACGGAGGUUUUACUACUUCAGAUGAACUUGGAGAAGAAAAAACUACCAAUGAUUUUGAACUUCCAUUUCUGAAAUUCCAAGAUAUUCUUGUCACAACAAACAAUUUCUCCAGUACAUCUAUGAUUGGACAAGGAGGUUUCGGAAAAGUUUACAAGGUAAUUUACGAUCGAGGUUUCCUUUCUUUGCUUUUCCUAGACUCAUUAUCUAAUUAAAUAACCUGCAGAACAUAUCACAAUCUUACUUUUCUAUGUUAAUCACAAAGGGGGCAUUAGAAGGUGGUCAAGAGGUUGCUAUCAAAAGACUUAGUAGGGACUCUGAUCAAGGAAUUCAGGAGUUCAGAAAUGAAGUUGUUCUAAUUGCUAAGCUACAACACAGAAACUUGGUUCGACUUCUUGGUUGCUGCGUUGAGGGAGAUGAAAAGCUGUUGAUUUAUGAGUACCUACCUAAUAAAAGCUUGGAUGCUAUCAUUUUCAGUAUGUUCUGCUGAACAGAAGUUCAAUGUGCGAUUGAAUAAUUAUAUAAUUUCAUUUUCAUAGACACAUGAUUGUUCAUUGUAGAUCGCGCAAGAAAUGCACCACUUGAUUGGCCAAUAAGGUUCAAGAUAAUCAAAGGAGUUGCAAGGGGACUUUUAUACCUCCAUAAUGAUUCAAGAUUGACAAUAGUUCAUAGGGAUCUCAAAGCUAGUAAUGUGUUACUAGAUGCAGAGAUGAGACCCAAGAUAGCUGACUUUGGUAUGGCAAGGAUCUUUGGUGAUAAUCAAGAAAAUGCUAAUACCAAGCGAGUUGUUGGGACAUAGUGAGUAGUAUUUAAUUCCCAAAUACUCAAAUUGCAUAUGAUUGAACCCAAAUCAUCUUCAUAAUUUUGCUAACGAAAUGAUCUUAAUAGUGGUUAUAUGGCUCCGGAGUAUGCAAUGGAGGGCAUUUUCUCUGCGAAGUCUGAUGUCUAUAGCUUUGGUGUCCUACUUUUGGAGGUUGUGAGUGGUAUAAAGAUAAGCUCUGUUGAUCGUGUCCCAGGAUACCCAAACCUAAUAGUCUAUGUAAGCAAAUAUGGUUAGGUUUUAGUUUCUUCAUAUUAAAUGGUUUAAACUGUUCUAUUACACAAUCUAAUUUGUGUGAUGUGACUGUUUCAGGCGUGGAACCUUUGGAAGGAAGGGAAAGCAAAAGAUCUGGUAGACAAAUGUAUUGUUGAGAACUGUUUACUAGAUGAGGCUUCACUUUGCAUCCACAUGGGGCUCUUGUGUGUGCAGGAAAAUCCUGAUGAUAGGCCAUUGACGUCUUCUGUUGUGUUCAACUUGGAGAAUAGAUCCACAACACUACCAACGCCAAAUCACCCUGCAUAUUUUGUACAGAGAAAUAGUGAUAUGGAGCAAAUGAGAGAAGACAUUGUGAAUUCUAAGAACACAAUGUCUCUUACAGUCAUGGAGGGGAGAUAGAGUAACUCUAAAAAGUAGUUUGGAGUUUGGAUUGGAAUGUGUAACAUAGUGACUUGAAACUUGGAUGUUAUUAAUCGAUUUUUUUCUAAUUUUGAAUCAAAAGCUGCAUAUCCAAAAUUUUGAAGUGAGAAGAAAAAGUAUGACUGUAGGAGCAAAUCUUCAGCUAGCAAAUCAAAUCACAAGAGUAAAGUUGUAUUCGCAAGAGUAAAUCAUCAUGUCAUAGUUCCCUAACUCGCACGGUGUGACAUUAAGCUUCCUAAAAUUGCAUCUAGGGAGUUAACAAAGUAAAAAUGCUAGUUUAGGGAGAGCUAUAUGCGAUAGUGCACAAAUUCAGGAAACUGCAACGCAACUUACUCAUUGGAAAGUUUCACUACGUAGAUUCUACAGCAGCCUAAAUUCAUUGAUGGCAGGAAUACAUUAGUAAUUUUAACUGAAGGCGGCAAUAUGGUUUAGCAUGACCUACAUUCUUCUGUAAUCUAUAGACGAAGUACUACAUCUUCACAAUUCUAGAUGCACCCAUGACGAGUGUAACAAGUCUUCACUAAAUGACAAGGUAACAACUCCUUCGAUGUGUACAUCUCAACUGCCAACAUAUUUUGACUAGAAUGUUUCAAUUGAUUAUAGUCUAUUUGAAAUCUGGAAUUUUUGCAUUGUUGCGUGCAUAUCAAGUGUGCAGAGCUUACUUAUACAUACUGUUAGGAGCAAACCUAGGAUCUCUAGAUGUAGAAUUAGUCGGGAUUACGGGUAAACAUUGAGUUCAUGGGGUUCCAGUGUUAACCGAGAGGGAGAGAGAGAGAGAUGGGGUACCUUCACCCCUAGGGGUGGAAGCGGCAGAGCUGCCGGCCAUCGCUGGUUCUGUCGGUGAAGAUCUGCGCUAGGCAGUGACGCGCAGUGCCGUAGUUCGGUCGAUGAAGCUCUGCGCUAGGUAGCGACGCGCAGUGUCGUAUCGUGUCGUCGACGUGGCGGUGGUGGUGCUUCCUGUCACUGCUACGCCCCCGUGAUCGAUCGGUCUAGGGUUUUGUCAGUGGGGUGGAUGGCGGAACCUCGUACCAUGCGCUCCGGCCCCCACCUCUAUUUUUAUAGCGCAUGUGACAAGGGCCCACCACCCAAUGCUAGGGUGGGCGCCCCCGAUCAGGGCGCGAGUCAAGGGCUCAAUGGGCCGUGGGCCCAUUAGAGAGGAGAUCAAUCUAACACGUACUACCAAGUAGCAGCUUGUGCGCGUACCUUUUCUGUCUCUCUGAGUUUGGUGGCACUCAUGAGUUCCAUUUCGUUUUGUACCGUGGCUCUCCUCCUCUUGCCGGCCUUUUGUGCUUCCGACGACCGGCUUGUCCCAGGCAAGCCCCUUCUUCCCGGCACGACCAUCAAAUCUGAUGGUGGUAACUUCGCCUUUGGCUUCUUCUCCCUGUCCAAUUCCACUUCAGGAAAGCUAUACCUAGGCAUAUGGUACAACAAGAUCCCCCAGCUCACCGUGGUGUGGGUUGCUAAUCGGGCAACACCGGCCAUCUCCUCCUCAGGUCCUUCCCUUGUUCUGACCAACACCUCUGAUCCUAUCUUGUCCAAUGUUAUCGGCCGUGUUCUCUGGACAAUCAACACCAACACUGCUGCAGGCUCCUCACCAUCACCGAGAUCGAAUACUACUGGAUCGGUGGCGGUGCUUAUGAACAUAGGCAAUCUCAUCCUACGGUCACCGAGGGGCAUGGUGUUAUUGUCACAUCCUGAAAUUUUUGGAUUUCAGGAUGUGAUUAAAAAGAAUAAUUAAACAAUAAUUUUCUCAUAAUUUUAAAAAAAAUUCAACAUUUAUUUUCUUGUCAGGAAAUGUAGUAUAGGAAAAACAAUUGGCAGUUUUUCUAAAUUAAAUAGUGUUGUUCUGUGUGUGCUGCAUUCAUGCCGAUGCAUCUUGGUGUUUAUAGAGUGCAAAUGUUUUAAAAUGCAUUUAGACGACGACUAGAUUCUUCUGAGAAUUUUUUAGCUUUUUCUAAAAUUUAUUCUCAUUUUUCUAGGACCAAAUCUAUUUAUUAGAAGGCUCUACAAUCUUUUUCACGAGCUCCAAAUAUUAUAUUUGGACUCCUCGUGUCCCAGAAUUUUCAGACUAUGUUUCAUGGUUUAAAUGAUUUAUCUAGAAUUUUUUGAAUUUUUCUUUCACAAGAAAUUAUUUCUAAAAAUAAGCUAACUUCUCUAUCCUAUCGGGCCGAGCCCGUGGGCCCAACCCGCUCCGUUUCAGCUGCAAGCCUGCCCGACCCACUUGGGCCCAGCAGCCGCCGCAAUCUGCUGGCGUCCGAGGCCGUGCGCAUCGCAGCGCCGCCGCCCUCGUCCCGCAGCCCUAUAAAGGGCGACGCCUCCUCCCCUGCGCGCCCUGCGACUGCUCCCGUCGCCCGCCACCCUUCCUCGCAUGAGCAGCACCGCCGCCGUCCGAGCCGGAGUAGAGCCGAGCGCUGUCGGAGCUCGCCCGGUGUAUUCGCCGCCUUCUUCGCCCACCAGACGAAGCUGGUGACUCCAAGAGCUCCAGGAGCUUCGGGACAUCGCCCCGUGCACCCGCCACCGUUCACCAUCCUCAUCUCGUCACCGGAGAAGCUCGUCCACUUGAAGACUGGAGCCGCCGCCAUUUCCCGUCCGCCUUCGGUCAAAUUCCGGCCGGAGCACCGCAUCCCGCCCAUCGGUGAGCACCCCUACAAGCUCCCCUCUACCUCCUCUACCCCUGCGCCACCUCGCUUGAGUCCCUAGCCGCCGGAGCGCUAGCAAGCCGAGGUUCCUGAGCUCCAUCCGCCAUGGACUCAAGCUUUUGUGAUUUGGCCCCUGGAAGAUCCUGUAAUCUUUAAUAGUCUUCCUGUGUCUUGACCAAUCCUCAGAAAACCCCCUACAUCUUUGGGAUCCUUGCAACCAAGUCCAACCCGAGCACUUUAACAAUCUAUCCCCACCCUUUUCAGCCUUUUGCGAGCACUAUUUAUAAUGUCUUGUAAAACAUCUCAGCUAGCCCUCCAGAUCUUUGGUUAAUCACGAUUCGACCCUUGCAGCUUGUUUAGCCAGUAGAUUCCACGUUUUAGCUCCGUUUAUCCUCGUUCUUAUUUUGUUAGAUUCAUAUCAACUUAAAUGACGUAAUUACAAGCAAUUCUAAUCAUAUUCCCUAGUUUUAAUUUAUUUAAAAUAUUAAUAUGAUUAAUUUCUUAUGCACUUGUUUUCUAAUUAAAAGCUAUUUAGAUCUUUACCUCGCUUUCAUAAUUAAGUGUUAAUUUCAUUAAUACCUAUUGAACUAGUUUUUAUUAAUAAAAUCUAAUUAUGAGCUAUACCACGGUUGUUCAUAAUUAAACUUAAAUUGAUUAAUGUGUAUUCAAUAUGUUUUCUAAAUAAAAGUUAAGUACGUGUAACUCGGGUUUUAUAAACUAAUGUUAAUUUGAUUAAUGUGAAGAUAACUCUAAUCCGAAAUAUAAUUUGCUUAGUCGAACUCGAAAUACAAAGUUAUAUGCUUAGAUGUUUAUAUAUGCUUUAUUUCUAAAUUAAAUGUUUAAUUUGUAUAACUUGUACAUAAAUAUUUGUAAAUAAAAUUUGCCAAAGUUUUACACCAUAUUUUCAUAUAUAAAUAUAACUUGCUUAAUUCCAACUAAGGGUAUUUCUCUGAAAUAUCUUUACAUUAUUUCUCUCAGCUAAAAUAAAUGCAGCAUAUAUGUGGCAGAACCACCCAAAUUAACCUGGCUAAAUUGUACUCAACUUCACCUCACAUAUUAAUCGACACUUUAAUCGAGUCAAUCUAGUAGUCUGUCGGGUUAUACCUAAUAAACCACUUGUCUCGGAUCGAAACAAAGCAUACUCACACGAAGGUGAGUCCAGAUAUUACAAUAAUUCAAGUCCAUUAACAUAGAUCCCUCUUAAUUAUUACAUCAUAAUAGUUCGAAAGCAUAAAGCAAAGUUUUCAGAGUUCAAAGCAGCGGAAAUAAAGCAGAAGUUUAGACGUUGAUACAACAAUGCCAUAGUGAAGCCUCCCAUGACAUCAGUUACCACGAUCCUCGCCGACCGAGGAUGGGUCCCACUCGACCGUCUAACCCGGAGGGAGCUGGGUCAGCCAAGUCAAGCUAGCAGCACACUCAUCAACAUCUACCAUAUUACUUGAAAAACAAGCCACAAGCAAGGCUGAGUAUGCUAAUACUCAGCAAGACUUAACCAUCGGGUGGUAACUACUCCACCAACUUCUAGACAUGCAAGACUUUUUGGCUGAGGGGUUUGUUUUUGCCAAAAGCAGCUAAAUAGGUCCUUACUUUCAAACUUUAGCAUCAUGUUCUAGUUAAUUAACCAUUCUAGGUAAGCACCUGUUCUAAGCAAGCAUGUUGACCAGACAUUUUAUUCCAAGCAUCAUCAUUAAGAUAAACAUUCUCUGUUCCACUUCUUACUCAGUGCAGCACAGUGAUCAAGCAGUCUCAUACUGUGAGAGGCAGAUGAUUCAAAUCGAGUUUCUUAACCUUGCAAGGUGAACCUAACCCCACGACAGUGCGUACCACGACAGGUCCACACAUGUCAGCCGUCCCCAUCAAUCCCUGAGCUUGUGGACAGAGCCUACUUCCCUUGGAUAUAAGGCCCCACGGUCCUGGAACAUCAUUGUACCGUGACUGCACUUGUACCCACAUGAUGCACCAAGGGAAACUCCGUUCCAGAGACAAUAGGGAUAAAGCCACGCCCUGGUUCAAUCAGGUACUAGACUUUCCUAUCCUAUACUAGCUAUGAGAUUAGUACUUUCAAAUACUUGACCAUGAACACCGACAUAUUUCGGUCUUAGCAUUUUUAUUGCUAGACAGAUGGGGCAAUCCACCAAUUCAGACCAAAAGCCCAGCCCCGCCCGUCAUCCUUAUGGUUGUAGCAUAAGUAAGCAAGCAACUCCUAUAACUCGUGAGUGAUAGGAAAUCACUCGAUUUUUACCGAGUCCUAUUUAGCAUUGCAGCUACUCGACCUAUCAUACUAGUGUUCAAACAUAGGUACCUAAGAUCAUGCAACUAAGUUUUCAAUCAACUCCUAUGAACUUAAAUGCACAAACAUAAGGAGCAUAGAUAUUGCAUGAACUUUAAAUCAGGGUUAUGCUCCGGGACUUGCCUUCCUGAUCUAGGUUAGUGGGGAGCUCGUUGGAAGCCUAGCUAGGAUCUUGCUCAGCCUCGACUUGAUGCAGCUCUGCCGGUGUCUCCUCGGUUGUCUAGAGCAGCUUGUAAGUUCCGUUCGCAAGAUUCGCUUCUACACAAGAUGCAUAUGCAACAAUUCAAGAUUUCACGAUUUCAUAUGCAAGAUGCAUUUCAAAAGAUAUUGCAGAAGUAUUAAAACCGUAACGACCACAUCACCUAGACAAGAUUCCAAACUUUCAUUUCCUUCAUGAAGUAAGGUGUAUUGUGAUUUAAACCCGGGGUUGACCUUGAUGGUGAUUGUGCACACAUAUAAAGUUUUAUUCAUUUAAACUUCACAAAAGAUAGGUGGGGUCAUUUUAGGGUUGCUCAACCUGCAUUUGGAAAGUUAUCCUGUUUCUGAAUUUCUAAACAACUUAAUUUAAUGUAACAUUUACCAUAUUUUAAGUGUAUUACUCACAUGCAUUAAUUAAGCAAGUUAAAACAUGUAGCAACCAUAAGCUAGUAUUUUUUUCCUAGUUAAAUAGAGGCAUCAAGAACCUAACAAAAGUGAUCUUGCAUUUUUAUCUAUUUUCUUCCCUUUAUAGAGCAAAUAAUAAGAUCACACCUAGCAUUCAAGCAUUUAACUUAACUCAGUGAGUUUCACAACUAAACUAGUGUUGCAAAAGUUCUAUUCAGAACCAGCAUGCUAAAAUUAAAUCCACCGAGGUGGAUUCAUAUUUUUCUCAUUUUUCCAUGAUUUAUAAAGCAUUUAUUGGCUUAAACACAAAAAAAUCCUAAGGGAAAAAUACAAUAGCGACAUGUCCAAAACCAUUUUUCUGUAAAACUACUCAUCACCAGGAGUCUAACAAAGUUGGAUUUGUAUUUUUAGCAUUUUUCUACAUUUACCUAUGCAUUUUCAAAUUUUCAGCCUUUUUAAAACAAAAGUAAAACAGAAAAGAUAAAACGUUUCGCGCUCAGGCCCCUAGAAAGAUUUGGGGACUUGCAAUGUCACCCCUGGGGCUCGACCAGCGGCUUGCCGGCGUAAAUCCGGUGAGCGGCAGCGCUGCUAGGGUUAGGGAAGGGCACGAGGUUGCUCAAGGGCUCACCGCGAAGAGAUGUGCUGAGGGUCUCGGGUGCGGGGGCGGCUCGAUGGCGGCGGUUGAUGGCGAGGUCUCUAGCGCGGUGGCGGAGCUUCUUCUUCAGCGAUGGUAGAGGUGCGGGUGGCCAAGGGGUGGCUCGGGAGGCUCGAGUGGAGUGUGCGUGGUGCACUUGCGGGCUCAGCGGGUGGCAGGGAUGGCCGGAGGGUGGAGCUCGGCAGUAAGGUGCGCGACAACACUCUCGUUUUGCUAGCAGCGGGAGAGGUGGCACAGUGAGGUGCCGAUGAGGCUUGGGGCGCCUUUUAUAGGCUAGGAGAGGUGCGAGGAGGCGAUAAGGAUGCCGUGGGUGAGCUCAGGCCCACCGGGGCACACGGAGGCGGCCAGGCAUUGGCGGCGCAGAAGGAUGACGCGCCGGAGUGGCUGCGGCAGCGCGCGUGUGUGGGCACUCGACGGUGAGUGGUGGAGCGGGAUUGGGGCGAUGCACGAUUCCUUAGGUCGCGUGCAGGGACUGGCCGGGAGGGGAGCUCGAGUUGUCACCUCCAUGGCGGCGAGUGGCUGGGCAGCUCUGCCGGUGGCGCGGCGUGAUGUGGUGGUGGCGAUCUGCAGGGCGUGUGGUGCGUGCGAAGGCCAUUGGCCGGUGGAGAUGCAUAGUGGCGUGCGGCACGGAUUGGGCGAAACCCCGAGGACGAAUUGUCCUGUCGCCGACGAACAUUGGCUGGUGAGCUGCGCCGGUCGGGUGGCGCCACGUGGCGACAUCGCGCGCGAGACGCGCGGUGACCGCGCACCGGGCAGAAGGGUGGGAACGCGGUGGCUCUUGACAGCUAGGUUUAUGCUCUGCUAUUGAUCCAGAAAUCUUAGCGGACUACUUCUUAUUAGGGAAUCUUUGUAAAAGCCUCAUAGCGUCCCUAUGCAGUCACACCUCGGUAGUGUGAUGAGUGCAGCAUGGUUGGGUUUAAAGUUCUUCUGAACUUUUACACGACUUGUGGGUAAAGAUGUACAACCUCUGCAAAGUGUAAAACUGAUCGAUCAGUUGUGCUCACGGUCAAGAGCGGCCUGGACCCUCACAUGAUUAAUAAACUUGAAGAUGGUUUUAAAUCGUUAUUCUGGUUAUUUCUUGUGGCCUUGCUGAGUACCAACCAUAAAUGCACUCACUCUUACUUAUUGCUACUCAGAAGAGGAAGGUGUGUGAAGUUUUCUGAAGAUGAUGCUAAGUUCUAGGUGUACGCAACCCUUAGUCGAUUGCCUGUGAAGUUUGGAGCUUUCGUUUUCAGGAUUAACCUGUAAACCUCUUAUAGACUAUAACGUCAAGGCCAGUAAUGGUCCAAAAAUUACUACCGGUCAUUUGUGCAUGGUUUGUAUGAACGUCGCACCUGUUCGGCUGUUCACACGUAUAAAUCUCACUCUCGCUACCAAUUUUAGUCAUAUGGCAUGAACUUUGACGCUGAGUUGACACUGGUUUGCAGAUGAAGACAAAAGCAAAUGCAGUAAGGAUUAUUCUACCAGCUUUAGCGAGUCUUAUUGUUCUCACUUGCAUUAUACUUAUAUGGAUCUAUAAGUUCAGAGGUAAGUUUCCAUAAUAUAUAUACUAAUUGUGGUUACUAAAUGAAAACCUACUCACCAAUUUUCGGGUGCAGGAAGAAAAAUAAAUGCAGAAAACCACAAGAAGCUAAUGCAUAGGGGUUUAACAACUUCAGAAGAACUUCUAGAAGAAAACACUGCCCAUGAUUUUGAGCUUCCAUUUCUCAAAUUCCAAGAUAGUCUUGUCGCCACAAACAAUUUUUCCAAUAGAUUUAUGAUUGGGCAAGGAGGUUUUGGCAAAGUUUAUAAGGUAAUUAUUUAUGGAAGGUAUCUUUCUUUGUAUGUUCCAGUUUGAUCAUUCAAUCAAGUAUCUGCAUUACAUAUCACAACCUUACUUUUUUAAUAAUUACAAAGGUGACACUAGAAGGUGGUCAAGAGGUUGCUAUCAAAAGACUUAGUAGGGACUUGGACCAAGGAAUACAGGAGUUUAGAAAUGAAGUUGUUCUAAUUGCCAAACUACAACACAGAAACUUGGUUCGACUACUUGGGUGCUGUGUUGAGGGAGAUGAAAGGCUGCUAAUUUAUGAGUACUUGCCCAAUAAAAGUUUGGAUAUUGUCCUUUUCAGUAUGUUCAAUUCAUACACUAAAUAGUUGAGGAGUUAUAUAUUUUCAUUUUUCAUAUACAUGACAUAUUUACCUUGUAGGUUGUGAAAGAAAUGCACCGCUUGAUUGGUGACAACCAGAAAAAUGCAAAUACAAGACGAGUUGUUGGGACAUAGUAAAUACUAUUAAUCACAAGUUAAUAUGAAUAUAUAUGACUGUACUAAAUUCAUAUUUGUAAUUUUUGCAAAUGAAAUGUCUUUACCAGUGGUUACAUGGCUCCUGAGUAUGCAAUGGAGGGCAUUUUCUCCGUGAAGUUUGAUGUCUAUAGCUUUGGCGUGUUACUAUUGGAGGUUGUAAGCUGUUGAUCGCAUCCCAAAUUACCCAAACCUAAUAGUCUAUGUAAGCAAAUAUUACUACUUCACAGAUUAAGGGUUUUAAAUGUUUAGUCUUAUACGAUCUCAGUGAGUGACAUAAUUGUUACAGGCGUGGAAUCUCUGGAAGGAGGGGAAGACAAGGGAUUUGGUCGACUUAUGUAUUGUUGAGAAUUGCUUGCUAGAUGAAGCUUCACUUUGCAUCCAUAUGGGGCUUUUGUGUGUACAGUAAAAUCCUGAAGAUAGGCCAUUCAUGUCUUCAGUUGUGUUCAAUUUGGAGAAUGGAUGCACAACACUACCAGCGCCAAACCACCCUGCAUAUUUUGCACAAAGAAAUUGUGAUAUGGAGCAAAUGAGACAAGAUAUUACUAACUCUAAGAACACAAUGAUUAUUACAGUCAUAGAGGGAAGAUAGAUUAACUCAAAUUUUUAGUCAUAAAAUAUUUUCUAGGAUAAUUUUGUGAACAUAUUUUAGCUUUUAGUAUUAAUCUGGAAAUACAAUAUGCGGCUACCUUUUUGCUACUAGUAUAGUGCAAACGCUUUGUUUUGAAAACCAAAAGUAGCCUGGACGAAAUAAUCUUAAACGGAUAUAUGAAGCUCAAAACAUCCGAUUGGGAUGAUGCUGAUACGGAAAAGCAUAAGGUUUGUAAAACAAAGCCUCUACCUAGUAUGGGGGCAGCCGGGCAGGGGAAAGGAUAUGAUAUUUGGUUAUCCAUUUUCACCCAACUUUUUUUGGGGCUCUCGACAUCUUUGGAAGGUCAGGAUCAUACUGCUGUGCUCGUGUUUACAAUUGUAGCACCAUGUAUACACACUCUGUCUAUAGCAUAUAGUAGGGUGACUUGCAUCAAAUUAACGUACGUUUACUUAAACGUGGUACGUGUAGUUGGGUUUGGCCAGAAAGUCCACUGGCGGUUUUUUAGAUAAAGAAAAAAACAUUACAGCCUUCACACUCACGCGUGAGUGCAUAUAGCCAAUCGUUACAAAUCAAGUACUAGUACUUAGACUAGCUACAAAAUGCCACAUAAUAAAAAUGGUUCUAAACAAAGUAGAAAGAAGUGAAGGCUAGCUGAGGCUUAAUCCUAUUACUAAAUUUAAUCUUCUUCCUUUGCUUAUCUGUAAUGUGCGAGCCCUAUGCUUCACUGACAAGAUGAAAGUACGUCCGACUAGGCAAAACAACAACACGGUCUAUAGCUCACUUGUCUAAUCGGGGGCUCCAACUGGCGCCCAGGACAAAAGCCCAAAAUAAUCCGUCACCAAGCUCCUCCAGUGUCGUGUCAUCAACUCUUCUUCAUGCGGUAAUCUCCGGUUAUUAUACUUGCCACCUUGCAUUGGGAGUUUUGGAUCAUGAGCUCGUACGUAUAUAUGGACUCAUGCUGUGAUCAUGUCCGCUUGAAUCAACGAGGAUUUCCCCGUGCCGGCCGCCGUUCCCCCAACGACUACGUCGUCGUCGCCGCAGCCUAAUCCGGAUAGAGGCGAGGCAUCAGCAGCACCAACAAGGACUUCUGCCUGGGUCCAUUUUCUUGUCAGCGUGUUCUACGUAAAAGCUCAAACUCACCUACUGAUGCUUCAGUCCAUCUAUGGAAUUCUAGCGCCGGUGGCUCAUGACGCCUCGAAGGCUACAUUUUUUAACAAAGGAAAGAAGUCUCCUUUUGGUCUCAAGUAGCCCAAUAUCUUUUGAUGAUCUGGACAUUUGCACUUCACACACAUACAAAAAUAUCGGUGAACAAGUCAUUCCAAGGGAGUGUUGUGGUGACGUUCUGCCCAAAUGGCAGAGAAAUCGUCCAUAUAUGCUGGUGAAAGAAAAUGUUGUGGCAAAAAAAAAAUUGCUUGCUCACUGCGAGAGCCUCACAAGAAAGAUAUUCAAGCUUAGGGAAAAACAGGACAGGAGGAGAGAAACGCAAUAUGUGUGGGAGUGUAAGUAUCAGGAGCGCCUUUCUUGAAGAACCCGGAUGGGUAUUUAUACUGUUUCCAGCGAUGGAUUAUUGCCAACUUGCACUACGGGACACAGGAACAUUGCCGAGUGCCCCAGGCACUCGGCAAAGCUCCAAAAGCACUCGGCGAACCCUUUGCCGAGUGUAACACUCGGCAGUGGGCACACGACAAAAAACCUACCGGCAAACAAACUUUGCCGAGUGUUUUUUGCCGGGCACCCGGCAAAGCUUUUGCCGAGUGCCCAAAAAACACUCGGCAACAAUUUCAGAAAAAAAUAAAAAAAAACAUUCGCUGGCCGCCGCCGCCGCCGUCGCCACUGCCGGCCACCACACGCCGCCACCGUCACUGGCCCAAGCCCUCCCUGGAUCUCGCUGCCAUCUCCCUCCCCAUGGCCAGCGGCGCCGCCAUCUCCCUCCACCUGGCCCACGCCGCCAUCUCCCUCCCCCUCCAUGGAUCUCGCCGCGCCACCGCCGUCUCCCUCCCCCGGCUCGCGCCGCCGCUGUCUCCUCCAUCCCUGCCCACGCGCGCCGCCGCCCCCCCUCCGCCCCUGCCCACGCGUGCCGCCGUCUCCCUCCCCCUCCCUGGAUCUCGCCGUUGGGGGAGAGAGGGAGGGAGGGGCGGCCCCGGCCGUCGGAUGUCGCUGGUGGGGAGGGGGCAGCCGGAGAGGGAGGGGGAGGGAGAAGGAGGGGGCCGGCGCCCGGAUCUCGCCGGUGAGAGGGAGAAGGAAGGGGCCGCCGCCCGGAUCUCGCCGAGGAGGGGGCGGCCGCCGGGGGAAGGAGUGGCGGCCGGCCACCGCCGGAUCCGGCCCCGGGAGGCCACCACAGCCCCGCCCACCAUGGCCUCCGCCNNNNNNNNNNNNNNNNNNNNNNNNNNNNNNNNNNNNNNNNNNNNNNNNNNNNNNNNNNNNNNNNNNNNNNNNNNNNNNNNNNNNNNNNNNNNNNNNNNNNNNNNNNNNNNNNNNNNNNNNNNNNNNNNNNNNNNNNNNNNNNNNNNNNNNNNNNNNNNNNNNNNNNNNNNNNNNNNNNNNNNNNNNNNNNNNNNNNNNNNNNNNNNNNNNNNNNNNNNNNNNNNNNNNNNNNNNNNNNNNNNNNNNNNNNNNNNNNNNNNNNNNNNNNNNNNNNNNNNNNNNNNNNNNNNNNNNNNNNNNNNNNNNNNNNNNNNNNNNNNNNNNNNNNNNNNNNNNNNNNNNNNNNNNNNNNNNNNNNNNNNNNNNNNNNNNNNNNNNNNNNNNNNNNNNNNNNNNNNNNNNNNNNNNNNNNACGUAGGACACUCGGCAACUUUUUUUGAAAAAAAAUUAAAAAAAUCCAACAGUUUCAAAAAAUACCAAAUUUUCACACGAACCAAUAUAUGUUCUCUAUUGUCUAUACAAAAAGUUUUGUAGUCAAACAAAACUCGACCGUCACUUCGACUCUAAAUCUUAUCGAAUCCUCUCAAAGUUACUAUUCUUCUUCUGAGAUGCUUCGGUUUGUAAUCAUUGUACAUGAUGAAAAUGUGCAAAACCUUCUCAAUUUUUUUCCACAACCUCCACGUAUUAUAUCAUCACAUCAUGACAAAUCUCAUGAUUUUCAGACUUUGCUUGUUUUUUUUACAAUUUAAAAAUACUACUGCCACACGUUCAUGGUCGUGUUUCUUGAACAAGAUGUUCGAAAUUUAUUUUCAUUUCAUGGGUCAGGUCUCAAAUUGGGCCAAAUAACAUGAAUAUCAUUUUUCUACUCAUUUUGUUCCAUAAUUUGAAUCACUUGCAGUUCAAAUUUGACUUAUACCAAAAAUUUCCUUGAAAUGCAAUUAAUUAAAUAAAUAUAGCAAAUAAAUCCAAAAAUAUACCAAAUUUUAAUAUGGAGAAAUUUUAAUAUGGAGUACCAUAUGUUGUAUGCGGGGAGUAGGAAAAAUUUCAUGGUGAAAAGAGGAAAAAAAUUAUUUUUUUGCUGAGUGUCAAAAAAAACACUCGGCAAACCACCCUCUUUGCCGAGUGUCGACACUCGGCAAACCCCCCUCUUUGCCGAGUGUUUUUUUUGACACUCGGCAAAGAGGGUGGUUUGCUGAGUGUUUUUUAUUUGACACUCGGCAAAGCCCCGAUUUGCCGAGUGUUUUUUAUUUGCCGAGUGUUUUUGGCUUGGCACUCGGCGAGAGCUUGUUUGCCGAGUGCUCGAAAAAAAACACUCGGCAAAAAAAAUACACUCGGCAAUUUUUAGCUUUUCCGUAGUGUUGCAUUAUUAUGAGCAUAGAGACGUAAUGCUACUGCACGAAUUUAGGAAGCUACAACGCAACUUACUCGCUGGAAAGUUUGACCACGCAAAUUCUACUGCGGCCUAAAUUCGUUGAUGGCGAGAAUACAUUAGUAAACUCUGAUUGAAGGUGAACAAUGUGGUUUCGGGCGACCUACAUCCUUAUAUAGGCAAAGCACAUACUAAUUCUAGAAGCAUGCACUCUUAACGUCAAGGUAAAACAAUCCUUUUCUCCAAGAAAAUAACACCACGGUAAUAACAACCCUAUCGAUCGAGGUGCGUACAACUCUCAACUACGACUAACAGAUUCUGACUAGAAUGUUUGAACUCGUUUUAGCUAGCGUACAUCAGAAACCUGGAAAUUUUGCAUUGUUGCGUGCACACCAAGCGUGUAGGAGCAUAUACUAUAUAUACCACGACAAGUAGCCCGCUUCCGCGCCUGCAUUCUCUACCGCUUUGAGGCAUAAACUAGCUAGCUAGUAAACGCACUCAGAGAGCCAGAGACGCCGCAGCAAGUCCAAUGGCAUUCAUGAGUUCCAUUUCGGUUUGCACCAUGGCUCUCCUCUUGGCGGCUCUGUGUGCUUCGGAUGACCGGCUUGUCCCAGGCAAGCCGCUCUUGCCCGGCACCACCAUCGUAUCUGAUGGCGGUGACUUCGCCUUUGGCUUCUUCUCCCCAUCCAAUUCCACUCCGGAGAAGCUAUACCUUGGCAUAUGGUACAACAAGAUCCCCCGGCUCACCGUGGUGUGGGUUGCUAAUCGGGCAACACCGGCCAUCUCCUCCUCAGCUCCUUCUCUUGUUCUGACCAACACCUCUCAUCUUGUCUUGUCCGAUGUCAAAGGCCGUGUUCUCUGGACAACCAACACCACAGCCGCUGCAAGCUCCUCACCAUUGCCAAGAUCAAAUGCUACUGGUGGAUCAGUGGCAGUUCUUAUUAAUACAGGCAAUCUCAUCCUCCGUUCACCGAGCGGCAUGGUGUUAUGGCAGAGCUUCGACCACCCGACUGACACGGUACUCCCUGGCAUGAAUAUAAGGUACCACAAGACACAUGAAGAAAACCGCCUUUAUUCAUGGAACGGCCCUGACGACCCCUCGCCGGGUGCCUUCUCCGUUGGCGCAAAGACAGACACGUUCAUCCAGGGCUUCAUCUGGAACGGUUCGCUCCCAGAAUGGCGCGGCGCAGUAUGGACGGGUGCCACAGUCACCAGCCAGCAGUUCUUUCAGGUGAACACCACUAAUGUUGUAUACAUAGCAUAUGUUGACAGCAUCGAUGAGAUGUCCACGGUCUUCACCGUCUCUGAUGGUGCACCUCCCUUACGGUCAGUUGUGAGCUACUCUGGUCGGGUAGAAGUUAGUGUUUGGAAUAGGGAUUCGUCGGAGUGGGCAAUGCUUUCAGUGUGGCCGGAUUACGAGUGUAGCAAGUACGGCUACUGCGGGCUCUCUGGAUACUGCGACCACACAGAUGCCACCCCAACUUGCAAGUGCCUUGACGGGUUCGAGCCUGUGGACAAGGAAGAAUGGAGCAGCGCCAGGUUCUCGCGGGGAUGCAAACGAAAGGAGGUGCUUCGAUGCAGUGAUGGUUUCUUGGCGCUGCCCGGUAUGAAUGUGCCCGACAACUUUGUGCGCAUUGGGAGGAAGACCAUCAAGGAAUGCGCGGCUGAGUGCAGUGGCAAUUGCUCUUGUGUGGCGUACGCUUAUGCAAAUUUAAAUGGCAGCACAUUAGAUGGUGAUGCGACGAGGUGCCUUUUGUGGAUUGGUGAUCAUCAGCUUGUCGACACACAGAAGAUGCAGGGUGUGCGUCCCUAUAAUGCAGCUGGUGCUGAUAGUCAAGGAGAGACGCUAUAUCUCCGAGUUGCAGGCUUGUCAGGUACCAUUUCAUAUCAUAAGACCUUCUAUCAGAACCAAGUGUUCGCCUAUAAGUGUCAUUCCCACUUAUAGGAACAUGACUUGGCAGGCCACUGUUGUUCAUUUACCAGGUCUUAACAGUAGGCACCGAGAUCAUUGAAAAUCAUAUAGGACAGUGGCAACUAAUUUUAGAAUCUGAGCAGAUCCUAGAAUCGAAUGAUAAUCAUAAUGUAUGGCUACAUGCAUAUUGUAGUCAAUAUAUGUGUAGCAAAAAUAGAUACUGAACUGAGAUUUACAUUUUUAUUUCUUUCUCAGUGAUCUAAUCUCGCAUACAACAUCAAGGCAAGUUGUGGUCCUAAAAUUAAUAGUCACUUUUGUCCAUGCAUUGCAAGAAUGCCGCGCCUGUCCGGCUGUUAGCUCAUGUAAAUCUCACUCUUACUACCAAUUUUAGUCAUAUAUAUGGCAUGAACUUGACUCUAAGUUUUACACUGGUUUGCAGGUGAACGGACAAAAGCAAAUGCAGUAAAGAUUAUUCUAUCAGCUUUAGCUAGUGUUAUUGUUCUCACUUCCAUUAUACUUAUAUGGAUCUGCAAGUUCAGAGGUAAGUUAUCUUAAUAUGUAUACUGAUCAUGGUUACUAAAAGAAAACCUACUCACCGGAUUUUGGGUGCAGGAAGGAAAAGAAAUGUGGAAAACCACAAGAAUCUAAUGCAUAAGGGUUUAAAUACUUCAGAAGAAAUUCUAGAAGAAAACACCACCCAUGAUUUUGAACUCCCAUUUCUCAAAUUUCAAGAUAUUCUUUGCUCCACAAACAAUUUUUCCAAUACAUUUAUGAUUGGACAAGGAGGUUUUGGCAAAGUUUAUAAGGUAAUUAUUUAUGGAAGGUCUCUUUAUUCAAUCAAGUAUCUGCAUUACAUAUCACAAUCUUACUUUUUUUUUAAUAAUUACAAAGGUGACACUAGAGGGUGGUCAAGAGGUUGCUAUCAAAAGACUUAGUAGGGACUCGGACCAAGGAAUACAGGAGUUUAGAAAUGAAGUUGUUCUAAUUGCCAAUCUACAACACAGAAACUUGGUUCGACUUCUUGGGUGCUGUGUUGAGGGAAAUGAAAGGCUGCUGAUUUAUGAGUACUUGCCCAACAAAAGCUUGGAUGCCGUCAUUUUCAGUAUGCUCAAUUCAUAUAUAUAGUAGAAUAAUUCUAUGUUUUCAUUUUUCAUAUACAUGACAUAGUUAUUCCUUGUAGACUGUGAAAGAAAUGCAAAGCUUGAUUGGCCAAUAAGGUUCAAGAUUAUCAAAGGAGUUGCCAGGGGACUACUUUACCUCCAUCAUGAUUCAAGACUGACAAUAGUUCAUAGAGAUCUCAAAUCUAGUAAUAUUUUGCUAGAUGCAGAGAUGAGACCUAAGAUAGCAGACUUUGGUAUGGCAAGGAUGUUUGGUGACAACCAGGAAAAUGCAAAUACAAGAAGAGUUGUUGGGACAUAGUAAGUACUAUUCAUCACAAAUUAACAUAUGAGUAUAUAUGACUGCACCAAAUUCAUAUUCCUAAUUUUUGAAAAUGAAUGUCUUUACCAGUGGUUACAUGGCUCCUGAGUAUGCAAUGGAGGGUAUUUUCUCAGUGAAGUCUGAUGUCUAUAGCUUUGGCGUGUUACUAUUGAGGUUGUAAGUGGUAUAAGAUAAGCUCUGUUGAUCGCAUCCCAAAUUACCCAAACCUAAUAGUCUAUGUAAGCAAAUAUUACUACUUGCAGAGUAAGGGUUUUAAGUGUUUAGUAUUAUUCGAUCUCAAUGAGUGACAUGAUUGUUUCAGGCGUGGAACCUCUGGAAGGAAGGCAAAGCAAGAGAUUUGGUAGACAAAUGUAUAGUUGAGAACUGCUUGCUAGAUGAAGCAUCACUUUGCAUCCAUAUGGGGCUUUUGUGUGUACAGGAAAAACCUGAAGAUAGGCCAUUCAUGUCUUCUGUUGUGUUCAAUUUGGAGAAUGGGUGCCCAACACUACCAGCGCCAAAUCACCCUGCAUAUUUUGCACAAAGAAAUUGUGAUAUGGUGCAAAUGAGAGAAGAUAUUAUGAACUCUAUGAACACAGUGACUCUUACAGCAAUAGAGGGGAGAUAGAUUAACCCUUAAAUUUUUAGUCAUAAAAUAUUUGUUUAGGUUAAUUCUGUGAACUUAUAAUUUGCUUUUUUUUAGUACUAAUCUUGAAAUACAGUGUGCUGCUACCUUUUCCCUACUAGUAUGGUACAAAAACUUUGUUUGGAAACCAGAAGUAGCCUGAAUGAAAUAAUAUUAAACAGAUACAUGCAGCUCAAAACAUCCCGUUGAGAUGAUACUGAUAAACAAAGCAUAAGGUUUGUAAAACAGAACCUUUACCUAGCAUAAUGGCAGCCUGGCAGGGGAUAGGAUUGUUGCUUGCCAUUGAGCCGAGGUCAUCAUCGUUCACCAGCAGAAGCAAUCGCAUAACCCGCUAUCGCUUGCCGGCACGCAGGGACAAGAGACCGGUGGUGUGAAACUGUGAACUGGUGCAGCCAGUGGAUGCAGAGCGCGGGAAUGGGUGCGGCGUAGGCAUUCUGUCGAACAGGUGGAAGGCUUUCCGCGAGCACGCAGGCGAGGCGGAAGACUAGCCGAAGCCACCGAUGAUGAGAAAGUGGGCAGUUGGGCACGCAGCUUGAUCUCGGUCGCUCACACUUUCCUCUCCUCUGCAUUGGCGUCCGGCUGGCGAAGGCGGAACCUGGGAUCUCAGGGAGUCAGGACUCAGGGUUGUCGCCUUGUCGGAGACUCGGACAUAGGAGGACGACGCGCGCUGCGGGAGAAAUUCAAGCGAGUGCUCCCAAUUCCCAAAUUUGAGCUGCAACUUGCAAGCGUACGCCAGCCCAACCCAAAGAAACUAAUUUUAGACCCAUGAAGAUUAAGGCCCACCAAGCCUACAAGGAAAAGAGAAGAAAGCCCACGAAGCCCAUCAGCACCGAAAGAGAAGAAAAGCUUGAUGAGUCCAGAAAUUCCGUGGGGUGCAAGUUUUUUUCGACAACCCGUCUGGCGCAAGUUAGCCCAACAUUAAGCGGACCCCACGUGCCAGCGACACAUCUAGAAAGCAGCCCACUUGUCUGAUCUGACUCCACCUCGCCGGCCUGCCCAAUCCCUUCCAUCUCCAAACCGGAAAAAAACCCACAGAACCCUAGCCUCCCUACCUCUGUCCUGCUCGCUCCGCCGUCCAUCCACUCUACUGCCAGCGGCGGAGAGAAGACCCAACCCGCCGGCUUGAUCUGAGCCAUGGACAAGGUAAACAAGGGGGCGCCGAUCGAGCAACCCGUCCUUCCCCUCAUGCUCGCCAGCUCGCGGGGGGAUCUCUUCUCUCUGUUUGUGAGACUGAUUUGGGUGUGGUUUUGUGCAGCAGCCCGGGGCGCAGGGGGCGGAGAAGGUGCCGGAGGAGAAGGUUCGUAUAUCACUUACCUCCCCUUCGUCCGCACAGGUAGGGCUAGCUUGCGAUUUUGCUUCCAUCAAGUGGCGUGGGAUGUAUGAGCAUUAUAUAUAAAUUGAAUUGUAUUUUGGCCGCAAGCUCUUUUCUGCAUGACUGCUUUGCCUAGAUCGCGUUCCCGAAAUUGUAACAUAUUAUCCUCUGAAACAUCUGUUUGUUCUCUGAGAUGUCUGAAUCAGCAGUUUGUUUUGAGCGGCUGCUUAAUGCAUACUAGCAUAUGUUUGUAUGAAGUAGCAAUUUGUGUACCUUCGUUCGGUAGUAUAAUGCUCCUUUCCCUAAGGGGGGUACAUGGCUGAUGGCUCCUUUGUGCAAUCAGAACUGCAUUUUUUUUUUUUUUGGGGGGGGGGGGGGGGGGGUUAGUUAGCAACUAUUUCUAGUCAGAACUUACUCCUUUUUUUUUUUGUUCAUCCAGCAACUUGAUGAGAAAGAGUUAUAAAGGAAACUGAAAAAAGAUCAAAAGGUAUCAAUCAAGUUCUGUCUUGCUUUGCUCUCUAUCCUUAAUUUUUGUAUUGGUCGUAAUUGGAUGGCCUGAAAAUGGUAAUUAGAUCAAGUUUAACAGACAAAAGUGAUUUCACUGAAGUCAGAAAUGAGCUGAACUAUAAGAUUGGACUAUUCUGUUAUCAUGUGCAUGGAUAGUCAUUUAGGGAUUAAAUGUUGCACUUGCAGGCAAAAGAGAAAGAAGAAAAAAAAACUUAAGGCGAAACAAAAGGAGGCAGCUAGGCUCCAGGUUCAAUUAUAAUGCUCACUAAUCUGUAUAUGACUGAACAGAUGAUCCAGACAUCUAAUAAGUGAAAUGCAUGUUGGAUAUGACUUAGGCACAAGCAGCCUCAGAUGGAACAAAGAAGACUGAGAAAAAACAAAGGAAGAAAGCUGCGGAGGAUGAAAAUCCAGAGAAUUUCAUUGAUCUAGACACUCCUAAUGGCGGGAAGAAAUUGCUUGCGCCUCAGAUGGCCAAGCAAUACAGUCCAAGUGCCAUUGAGAAAUCGUAAGAUGCCUGAAUAGUUUUUUACAUUUGUUGAUUUUAUAAUUUCUAGCACUGUAAAUGUAUAUUUCAACCGCAUGGUUUCUUUAUUUGUAUGCAGAUGGUAUGCCUGGUGGGAAUCAUCAGGAUAUUUUGGGGCAGAUUCUGCAAGCACAAAACCACCAUUUGUUAUAGUAAGUGAUUCAUGCUCUUGAAGGUUGUGCAUGAUAAGAUCGAAGCUAAUUUAGCAUACUGCAUCAUUUUACAUCACUGUAGUGCUUUUUACAUUGUCAAAUAGUGGGUUAGCUUCCAACAAAUAGUUGUCAUUUCUUUUCAGGUUCUGCCACCGCCUAACAUGACUGGAGCUCUUCACAUAGGCCAUGCGCUUACAGUGGCUAUAGAGGUAUUCCUAUUUUUUUUAAGAGAUCUAUAUGCCAUGUUAACACUAGACAUUGACUAUACAAUGCUUUUAUUCUCAUUCAGGAUGCUAUGAUACGGUGGCGUAGGAUGUCAGGUUACAAUGCACUAUGGGUCCCUGGAGUGGACCAUGCUGGCAUUGCUACACAGGUCUGCAUUUAGGAAUUCAUUAAUCUUCUGGAGUUUAUAUGAUGAAUCAUACAAUACAAAUUUAGAUGAUAGAAUUUUGUUGCUGAUAUUAUUUUGGCUGCAUAUAUUGUCAUUCAAGUUGUGGAACAAACAUGUAGAGACACAUGCUGGCAGUGCUAGUUAACAAUGUGCAGACAUUAAAAGAACUCCGUCAGCAUGGGUGUUGGGGACAUAUUAAUGAAAUCCACUUAUGCAAUUUUACUGAAACAUUUUUCAAAAUAAUGUUUUGAAUCCCAUUUCCUACUUUUGGAUGUUAACUGUUUAGCAACUGUUCAUCCAUUAAGUGCAUAAUUACAUAGCUUUUUUGUUGCUUCUAUACCCUUGAGCAAAUUAACAUUGUAUGAUUUUGGCCAAAUGUGAUUGUUUUGUGUUUGCUCAUUUCCACUUGUAUUAUUUCUGUGAUUUAACUUGGAAUUUGUAGUUCAACUUCUUGUUUGGACUUGACAAUGAGUACUUCAAUGUUUUGUACUCGCUUCAUUUUGAUAUGGAAAAAGCUAUCGCACGCGUGGUCGCGCUGGUGUCAAGUGCGCGACCUUGCGUGGCCCGUGCGUGAGCUGUUGGAUCGUGAGCCGAUUAAGAUGGGCUUUAACUAACUGGAGGUACAUUUAUAGGCUACUUAAAUAACUGGGCUAAUUAGGCAAAAGCUAACGUAUGCAGAUCGUGUGGGGUGAAGUGGAUUGUACAGCCCAAGUAUUUAUUAUUGUGUAUGAACUUUUAAAAAUGCGAUAAUUUUCAUAUGGAGUAUCCGUUUUCAAAUCCGAUUGCGCCAGCGUGUUAGUUACGAUGAGAUCUAUGAAACAAGAUCCAUGAUGCAUAUGUUUUGGAUUAAUUUUAUGUAGUGGCAACUUAUAUUGUGGUAUAGUAUGUGCUUCUGUAUCAAGUUUGUAGCAACUUAUGUCCAAAGCUCCAAACAAACUUUACAUAUAAGUUGCUACACAAAUAAUUUUGAACCUUAUGCCAUUACCUAUAUGAAGUAUCUACAUAAGUUGCCACAUUGUCUUUAUUUGAGUUGUUAUUUUAGCUGCGCAUAAGUUGUGUACACAACUUUUACCUAAGUUGUUACAUUUGUCUCUGUAUAAAUUAAUUUGCUCCUCGACAUUAGAAAUGCAAUAUAAGUUGCUACGUAGUUCAUGCAAUAUAAGUUUCUAGAGUUUUGGUUUUAGAUCUAGUUUUUUAGGAUUUUAAUUUUUGGUUUAGGAUUUUAGGGUUUACAUUUAAUGUGUAGAUUGUCUGUUGUCUUUAUUGAGGUGAUACAUUAUCUUUAUCUAAGUAGAUCGUACAACUACACAUAAUAUAAGUGGAAGAACUGUGGUGAUAUAAAUUGAUACAUAGUGUCUACAUAAGUUAAUACAUAGCCUAGUACAGUACUACUAUUUUUAUACAAGUUGAUACACAAACUCUACACAAGUUGAUACAAUCUCUAUAUAAGUUGAUAGUACCGUUAUAUAUAAGUUGCAAGCUCAAGUAAAUUUACUUCAAAACCUAUGGAAUAUGGGUCUUAUUUUGUAGAUUAUAUCGCAAGGAACACAACUGUGAAAACGGAUUAAAAAACGGACUCUUAAUGAGUUAUCAUCAUUAGAAAAAAAAUGGAACAAAAUAAAACACGAUGGCAGUCUCCAUGACUCCACCUAACCGUCCUGCAUGGCAAUUAAGAAAAGCAUGCGGAAGCAUGCGGUUGUUGUGUUGUUUCACACGGACACCAUUAGAUGGAUAAAGGGGUCGCGCGCUCACCCUCUGCGCGACCAGUCGCGCGUUAACGAGCUCCUUUUGACAUCUGCUCUCGUGUAUAUCAGGUUGUUGUAGAAAAGAAGCUUGUGCGUGAAAGGAAGCUGACAAGGCAUGACAUAGGGCGUAAAAAUUUUGUUUCUGAAGUAAGCACUUUUUCCGAUGACAUGAUUAUGUUUUGUUGGCCAAUUGAUCAUUUGUUUCCAUUAUAUUACUUAGUGUCAUAUGUUCUGAAAUGAAAUUGUUGACUAUUUUGUUCGAAUACUUAAUCCUGCACCUGAUGUAUCAUUUUUCUGUUCACUUCACUUAGUCCAUUUUUUAAAUCUUCUUACAAACAGGUACUCAAAUGGAAAGAUCAAUAUGGUGGUACCAUAUUGAAUCAAUUGCACCGGCUUGGGGCCUCACUUGAUUGGUCCCAUGAGGUAACAUACCUAUUCUAUUCAGUUAGGAAAAAACAUGGCAUGUGGUUGAACCAUGCAUAUUAACAUCAUUUCAAACUGGACACCAGGCUUUUACAAUGGAUGAGCAAAGAUCAAAAGCUGUAACUGAAGCUUUUGUAAGGUUACACAAGGAAGGCCUGAUAUUUAAGUUAGUUCCCUCACACUUUUUGUUCGAGUGUAAGUGUUAAAAUGAAAAAGAGAAUCCACUAUCAAUUGUGCUUUAUUGUUGACCUACACUCCUGUUUUUCAAUUGCCAACCUUGUUUGAAUGGAUAUUCCUUUUCAGAGACUAUCGCCUUGUGAAUUGGGAUUGCAUACUUCGAACUGCAAUCUCUGACAUCGAGGUUAAUGGAUCUUUAUAUUGUUUAUGAUAUGUUAGAUAUCGUUAUCCUUUGUGUGCUUGAUUAAGAUAAUUUUCUUAGAUUGAAAAUGCUGAUUUGACAGGUUGAUCAUAUUGAUCUUAAAGAUGAAACUAUGCUAAAGGUCCCUGGUUAUGCCAAUGAGGUGCAGUUUGGUGUAUUGAUAUCUUUUGCCUAUCCUCUUGAGGAAGGACUGGGUGAGAUUGUUGUAGCAACCACCAGGAUCGAAACAAUGCUGGGCGAUACUGCAAUAGCUGUUCACCCCGAGGAUAAAAGAUAUAAGCAUCUGCAUGGAAGGUAUGCAGUCCACCCCUUCAAUGGCCGAAAACUCAAAAUAAUCUGCGAUGCUGAGUUAGUCGAUCCCACGUUUUGUACUGGGGCUGUCAAGGUAAGAGCUGCUGAGGGUUACUUUUUUCCAAUCUUAUCUACUUGGACCUUCCUCAUAUUCUUAGAUGGUAUUGUUUGCUGGUUUUUUAUGCAGAUUACACCUGCCCAUGAUCCAAAUGACUUUGAGGUUGGAAAACGGCAUAACCUGGACUUCAUCAAUAUCUUCACUGAUGAUGGAAAAAUAAACAGCAAUGGAGGUGCACAAUUUGAAGGAAUGCCAAGAUUCACUGCUCGAGUUGCCGUUAUUGAGGCGCUGAAGAAAAAAGUAUUACUGGAUUUUCUUAACUAUAUCCCCUUGAUAUCUGAUUAUCAAUCUUUUUUAUGAAUAUAUGAAUUACAAUAUGUGGCAUGGAAUGCGUGAUUUAACAGAGUGAAAAUGCAAAUAGUGAAAUACCAUGGUCUUUGUAUCAUAACCAUGAUCUAUCUAUUUAUUUCCUAGUGUGUUGUACAAAGGGGAAAAAAUCAGUAUAGUAAUACGGAGUCACGUUAGUUCUACCAUGAUCUUCAGUUCAGUAUCAGUACUGGAAAUAGCUUAUCAGCAUCAGAUUGGGAUCGGUUAUCAAUAAUUAUGAUUUUUCUAGGAUUUCAUGUUUUAUAGAUAUCCUUCAUAAUGUGGAAAUUGUUGAUAGAUCACUUGAUAGGUCUUUGGCUUCUUGUUUUAUAUGAUGGAUUAACCUUUUUUUAUUCUUCUAAUUAAGGGGUUGUUGUUGACACCGUUUUUUGACAUACGUCAAAGAUGGCGUCAAAAGGAAGUAGAGGUGCCGAUGCAUACUGAAGAGACAACGGCUAGUGGAAUCGGCCGAUAGGGUUGCAGAGGGCACAGCCGAUGAAGUUAUAAGAGAUCGAUCGAUGAUGACGAAAGCUUUGCCGAUGGAGGAUGAUAGAGGCAUAGCCGAUGGAGUCAGCCGAUGUGAACAGAAGGAUUCCAGCCGAUUGGAAAUGUCAAAGGUUCAGUCGAUGAAGAGCAGGUUUUGGCCGAUAGAGGCCAAGUUCGUUUCCGACUCCUGCGCGAGUCAUUUUUAUUUUAUUUAGGGAGUUUGUUUCUUUAGAGAUAGAUCUUAUGUUUUGUCGUAAUCGACUAGGACUAGAAGUUUUGAUGUUUAGGGUAUAAAUAGGGACCCUGCGAGGUCUGGAAGGAUACACAUCAUAAUCAAUACAAAUCUACUAUUUUUGCAAUUUACUCUGAAGUCGGUGACUUCGCCAUUGUUUUCUUUUCUUCACGAGUUCUUCCAAGCUAGUUGGGUUGCAUCGCUUCGAUCUCCGGCUAGACCGUAAGUUUCGCGUUUACCGAAUACUGUCUAGACUUUAACUUCGGGCGUAUCGCUGUUGUUUCAUCUAGAUUUAUUCACAAGUUAUCGAUAUUUGCUAGAUCUGCAAGCUUUAUUUGUUAAAUCUUGUUGUUUUAGCUUUUAUCACAGUUAUCCAGCUUGAAACACGUUUCGAUUGGCUUUUACUUUGUUUUCUUAUAUCAAUCUACUAUCACAUAGCUGAUUAAAUCUGUUUUGAGUGUUGUUCACGUAGUACUGUUUAGAUUGUGUUUUACGCUUCCUUUACAUCUACUACAACCACAUUGGCUGACCUAGUCGAUUGUCUUUUGUUCAUGUCGGCAGUCCUGCCGAUACGCCAUGUGGAGCGAUUCAAAAUACCAGCCGAUUUUCUCUUGUAUUUGACAUUUUACUUGUCUUUGUCAAUCAACAGGUCAGAUUGAUUGGCACGCCGCGGAUCGAUAGGGCUACAAUCCAAACAGGAUCGAAUCAAAUUCUCCCAGGUUUCGUGUGUUAGUGCGCAAGGGUCUUCUCUUGAUUUUUGCGUCAACAGUUGUAUAAGGACACAAAGAAGAAUGAAAUGAGCUUGGGCAUCUGUUCAAGAACUAAUGGUGUAGUGGAGCCUAUGAUAAAACCACAAUGGUUUGUUAAUUGCAACUCCAUGGCCAAGGCAGGCCUUGAUGCUGUGAGGUCCAAAAAGAUUGAGAUCAUUCCCCAGCAGUAUGAACAAGACUGGUACAGUUAUAUCAUACAAUGCGUCUCCUUUUGCACUCAUCAUGUCAAAUGAAUGACAUAAAUCUGAAAUAAAUUACCCACCCAUUACUGCUGUCAUAAAUCUUGAAAACAUACGUGAUUGGUGUGUUUCGAGGCAACUUUCGUGGGGACAUCGUGUACCUGCAUGGUAUGUGACACUAGAAGAUGACCAGGAUAAAACCCUUGGUUCUGAUAACGACCGUUGGAUAGUCGCAAGAAAUGAAAGCGAUGCAAACCUGGAGGCACAGAAAAAGUAUCCAGGAAAGAAAUUGUGGCUAGAUCAAGACCCUGAUGUGCUGGACACAUGGUUUUCAUCUGGUCUCUUCCCCUUAACAGUUCUUGGUUGGCCGUCCGAUACUGCUGACCUCCGUGCUUUCUACCCAACUUCGGUACUAGAAACUAGACUUGAUAUUCUCUUCUUUUGGGUAGCAAGGAUGGUGAUGAUGGGACUGCAACUGGGUGGUGAUGUGCCAUUUCAGAAGGUAUAGCAAAAAUUCCCGUUCAGUGCCAUUUAAACUGUAUCAUAUGAUUGUAGCAAUCUAGUCCAUACACUUUGUUCAUGAUAGAUACUCUAUUCAAAACCUAUCGCUGCUUUCUGUAUCCCCUUAAUGUGGUUAAAUCCUGUAACACUAUAAUCUGAUCAAGAAGAGACCCAUGCCUGUAAUGUUGUGGAUGUAUAGUCAAGUUACCAGAAGUUUGUUAACUAAAAUAUGGAACCCUCCCAUUUUAAAUCAUUCUCUACUGAUGUUCUCCGCCCUUUAUAUCUGCAUAAAGACCACACUGAUUUCCUUCCCAAUGAACUCUACCUUUUUAACGUUUACCAUAUACUAGUCCAUCAACCCGUGCUCCCGCACGGGCUAAUAUUUUUAGAAGCUAUUGUAUUUAAAAAUUAUUUAAAAAUUAAACUCCUAACUAAUAAUCAAAAUUGUUUACCUACUACUCUCUUAUUUUUCAAUACUUCAACAUAAUGCUUAUAUAGAUAUGUACCUAUCUUUGUCCAGUUGUGAUUGAUUUUUAAUUAAUAAUUACUCUAUGCACGUUUUCAUCCAUAUUCAUACUUAUUUCAUUUUGUAUCACACCUCCAAUCCUCUAUACAUUAUGUUUAGCAUACAAAUUAAUAUUUUUCAUCGAUUCCUCAUAUACAUAUAUAAAUGGUCUAAAUGGUGGCACUCAUCAUGUGUAUAUAUUUUAACUUAGUAUUUUUAUAUUAACAAUGAUAUAAAUAUGUAAUUUAGAGUCAUAUAUUAGUUUACUUUUUGACAUUUCUGUAUGAUGCACACGAAGGUAAUUAGAUUAAUAUUUAGACAUUUACUUUAGGUUAUUUUUAAUAACGACACACGUGGGUAACAUAGAUAAAAUUUUAGAAUGACAUUUUAAGUUAUAUACUUUAUAAUGAUGUGUAUUAGUAAAUUGGAUGAAGAUUAUGGGGUUACUUUAGAUUAUUUUUUAUAAUAGCUGAGCUCGGUAAUUUAGAUAUAGGUUUAGAGCUCAUUUUUGAAUAUUUUCACAGUAACAAUGGAGGGUAACUUUUUAGAAAAUAUAAUAGAUCAAUGGCUAUGAUUAUUAGAGUUUACAUGAUUGUUGUUUGAUGUUUUUAAUUUUUAUGAGAAUUUAUCUCUUUUUUCUAGCUUGUCUCCUGGGAACUAAUGCGGAGUCUCCAAUGGAAAAAAAUGAGACUACAUUGCUACAAAACUAUUACCAUAAGCUACCUCUCGUUUGUUAAAUAUUCGAACACAAUACUUAUGUAGAUAUAUACUUAAUAUCUUCAUCCAAUUGUGAUAGAUUUUAGUUAGUAAUUACUCUAUAAUAUUUUCAACCACAUUUAUAAUCUUUAACUUUUCACUUUGCAUCGUAGGUAUGCGCUUGAAUUUGUUUAAUGAACCCUAAGUUUGAGAUAUAACUUUAGCAUAGAAAUCUAUAUUCUCAUCACUUUAUAUCCUUAUAAAUGGUGACACACAUCAUGCGUAUAGACCUUAAUUAUUAUAUCGUAUACCAAUAGUGAAAGAUAUAGACGAUUUAGAAUCAUAUAUUGCUAUAUAUUUUUAAUUAAGCUUAUUUGAUUCAAACGUAGGGUUACCCCAUGUUAUUUUUAAUAAUAGCAUGUGUGGGUAAUAUAGAUGCAAAUUUAAGGGGUUCCUUUAAGUUUUUUAAGUAAUAGUGGUAGGCAAUUCAAUUGCAAAUUAGGGGUUAUUUUAAAUAUUGUUUAUAAUGGCAUAAGUGGGUAAUUUGGAUGAAGAUUAGGGGGUUACUUUAGUUUAUUUUAUAUAAUGGUAGAGGUGGGUAAUUUAUAUGUAGAUUUAGGGGGUUACUUUAGGCUAUUUAUAUAAUGGCGUAGGUGGGUAAUUGUUUAGAAAACAUAAUAGAUCCAAAGACUAUGAUGAUUUCAAUCUAUCGAUUGAUGGUCGGAUGUUUUGCUUUUUUGUGAGAAUUUCUAGGAUUUCUCUCUCGUUUUAGACUGUCCACUUAGGAAUCUUAGGUGGCUUUACCUGGAGGUCUCAAAUGAAGCCUCCAAUUAGUAAUAGUAAGAUGUUAGGUGAGACAUCAGCACAGUGGGGUGCCAUGGUUUAUUAAGUCCAUUCUAUAUUUUUAAAUCCAUAAAGCCACCAUCUUUCCUUUUGUUAGUGUCUGCAAGUAAUAUCUUUUUUAUUUUUGAACUCAAUUAGCAAGCCAAACCAUAUACUGAGGCUACAGAAAUUUGGCACUACAUAUGGCAGUCAAGCAUAUUUCAUCUCUUGUCCAAUGAUCAAUGACCACACGCCCUGUUCUCAGGUUUAUUUACACCCUAUGAUCCGUGACGCACACGGAAGAAAGAUGUCAAAAUCACUUGGUAACGUCGUUGAUCCUCUUGAGGUGAUAAAUGGCAUGUCACUGGAAGGUCUUCUGAAACGUUUGGAAGAAGGCAAUCUGGAUCCAAAUGAAUUAAAUAUUGCCAAAGAAGGAAAGAAGAAAGAUUUUCCUGAUGGCAUAGCUGAAUGUGGUACCGAUGCCCUCCGCUUCCCACUGAUUGCUUAUACUUCCCAGGUGAUUAUGGUGCCCAGAGAGUUUUUUCUGUGUUAUACAUGCAUUGAAGAUUUUAUUACAAUCUAUUUUGUUUCUUAGUCUGACAGGAUAAAUCUUGAUAUCAAGAGAGUGGUUGGAUACAGACAGUGGUGCAACAAAUUAUGGAAUGCCAUCCGUUUUGCGAUGGGCAAACUGGGUGAUCAUUACAUUCCACCUUCAACUGUUGAUGUAUCUUCGAUGCCACCAAUCUGCAAGUGGAUACUCUCAGUGCUUAACAAGGCCAUUGGCAAAACCGUUACCUCUUUAGAAGCAUACAAAUUAUCUGAUGCGACAUCUACUAUAUACUCUUGGUGGCAGUACCAUCUAUGUGAUGUAUUUAUAGAAGCUAUAUCAAACCUUACUUCUUCAGCGAUUCUCAAGAGUUUGAAUCAGCAAGAGCUGCCUCCAGAGAUACCCUGUGGAUAUGCCUGGAGACUGGUCUGCGCCUGCUCCACCCAUUCAUGCCUUAUGUAACAGAAGAGCUCUGGCAGCGUCUUCCACAGCCCAAAGAUUCUUGCAGGAAAGAUUCAAUUAUGAUUUCAGACUAUCCAUCCCUUGUUGAGGUAAUACCUGUGUCCUAAAGAAGAUUCUGUAGGAAAAAUUCAAUUACGAUUUGAGGACAGAGUCUUUGAGUACUUGUUUACCCAUGGGAAAAUAUUGUUCUUUAUGACAGGGACGGACUAAUGAUAGACUUGAAAAUCAAAUGGACAUUGUCUUGGAUGCCGUGAACAGAAUAAGGUCACUGAAGCCACCAACAGAUUCAAAUGAGAGGUAUGCACAUGGCCAUCUGUUUUGUUUUGUAUUUGCUUGUUUGGUUCUUCAAUCUGCUUUUGCAAAAUAGAGUAAUAACUUAUUGAUAUUUUCUUGUUCUUUCUUUUUUUCAGACGACCUGCUUUUGCACUUUGCCGAGGCCAAGAGAUUGCUGCCACUAUCCAAUGCUAUCAAUCUCUAAUCGUGUCCCUUUCCUCCGUAUCACAUCUCAAGGCAGGGGCGGAUCCAGAACGGGGCUGCGCCCUGGGCUGAGCUGUUGAAUCACACCUAAAAUAGUCUAAUUUUGUCUCCUAAACCUCAUUUUGUUAGGCUAAACAGCACAUAGGUUAAAGGAACUCCAUGGUCUCGCCCCGGGCUGCAGCCCGGGCGGCCCGGGCCCUGGAUCCGCCCCCUUCUCAAGGUAUGAUUGUUUUAUUUUUCAUUAUGGAAAUAUCUUUCCCCUUGCAUCAUUUACAAUCACUUUAUCCUGUAUGGACAUAAAACCUAAAUGGAGUUUUAUUCCCUCAAAUUGCUAUGUUCUUGCCAAAUAACUGUUCUUCUUGGCUUUCUUCAGCUUUUCACAUUUAUAUGCUACCUACUUAUGAACAAAACUACAAAAGCACUGAUCUAUUGUUGGAAAUUCUUCAGAUCCUGACAGAGAACGAUGAAACUCCAGCUGACUGUGCAACUGCUGUUGUAAACAAAGACUUAUCUGUGUACCUUCAGCUCCAAGGAGCUCUAGAUGCAGAUGCUGAACGUGAAAAGCUGAGGAAGAAAAAAGACGAAAUUCAAAAGUAAGUGUGCAUAUACUGUCUUCCCUAUCCAUUUUUACCGUCAAGACUCGCUUAACUUCACUGUUGUAUGACAUCAGUAACAUGGUCUCUUGUGAUACACGCAGGCUGCAACAUGCGCUGUCACAGCAAAUGGACGCCUCUGGUUACCGCGAGAAGGCUCCACAGAAUGUGCAGGAAGAGGACAUGAGGAAGCUCACCGCCCUAUUAGAACAACUGGAGGUCAUCAGUGAAGCUGAGAAGAAAUUAGAUGCAAAUAUUUGAAAUAACCGAGUCUGUGGCCUCUGUUUCAAAGAUAUCUGCUUGUACCGAAGUUGAUCCCGCAUCUUUUUUUUGGUUCAAAAAGCUCAGUUAUGUACCUGUACGUUCAGGUUUAUAAUUGAUGGCUCAGAUCAAAAUUGCAGUUGCAUUUUCCAGCGUGUAAGAAUUGUACUGACGGUCUAUACAGAACAGUAUUUUUUGAAUGUCCGAUAUUGGCAAACUCUUGGUGUUGAUGCAUGUGGGCACUCUGCCAGAAUAUGUUGUAGCUGUAUUGUUGUGGUUUCAGGUCCGCAAGCCUCACGAGACUAUGCAACGGGUCCCUUGUGUAGCAUUUCUUCUGCGGCAAAAGUUGUGAAAUCAAAGCAAAAUCUGCAAGCCAAUGAUAGUCGUCGCCGGUGCGUCCUCCCGCCUGCUCCUCUUGUUCAUCUUCCUAGGCAGCAGCCGCCGAGGUAGGGGAGAGCUGCUUGGGGAAUCAAUGGCUGUCGGACUUUCGCAGUAAACGUGCAAACGUAGGGGCAACAGCGGCAGUAGUGGCUGCACACACACACACACACACACACACACACACACACACACACACACAUGCACGGGUCGCAGCCGUGCACCACCACCUGAUUGGUGCGGCGGCGCAGGGCUCAUGUCGCGGUCCGUGCCGCACGUGCCGUUCCCAGGUUUUGUGUUCCUCGCCAUCCCCAGCUGGUCGUCGUCCCGACGAAGUCCCUGUCCGGCUCCAUCUCCUUAGCCCAGCGCCCCAGAGCUCGAGGGUCCCCGGCGACGACGGAUGGCGGUGGUCGUUGUUUCGUUUAACGACCGCCCCGUGCUCCUUUUCGUUUCUUCCCCAUGCCAUGGAGAUCACGAUCACAUCAGAGGGAGCCUGACCCAAAUAACAGCAUGGUACAAUAUUACUGUGGGGCUCUGCGCAGGCUGCAGCCGCACUCGCCGCCGCGCGCACCGGUGCUGCCCGGGUUCACGUCUCCCGUAGCGCGACCUACGCGGCCGCGCGCUCCCUGGACGACGCGUUCUUCAUCUCCGCCUCCCCCGACCGCGGCGGCGACGCGCUCCUCGUCCCCGCGCUAUCCCUGCCGGCCAAGAACGACGGCGCGACGCGGACGCCCAUGUGCGUGCACAAGGUGCCGUCGCGACGCCGCGCUCGUCGGGCCUGCACAGCGCGGGCUCGGAAUGGCGAAGUGGGUGCUCUUGCUGGCGGGGCAUGGAGGCGUGAGACCUGAGUCGUCAGGAGGACGGAGUCAGGGUCAGGCUCGCGGUGACCGGAGCCGGGGGAUGGCCAUGGCGAAGUCGUGCCCGCGGCGGCGGGUCAGACCUCUCCCUCACCUAGUCCGAUAAAUUCCUCCAUCUCCACCGUAGACUGUCCAUCCAACGGCACCAGGAGCCCGCAGCAUGGAGACUCCAAAAUUUUUCUUUUAACCCCCCAAAUGGAUCGCGACUAUUCGCGGUCCAAAAUAUUUAACCCUCUAAAAAUGGAUCUAAUGUUUUGCACUAGAACCUCCAGAAGGCUAAAACGUAUGGAUGUUUUGCAUCAAAGCCCCCCACCUCUGUUCGUCUUCCUAGCAAAAGAUGGACCUCAAUGGGGGAUGGCGGUGGCGUCGCUUUUGCCCACGACGGUGUCCGUGUAAGGCACGUGAGGGUGCGUUUGGUUGAGCUUUCCAACCUGCUUUUACUUUUACUUUUGCAAAAGCCAACCAAAAAGUCUAAAAGCCAUAGAUGUUUUAGCCGAAAGCUGCUUUUAUUUUAGUACAAAAUCAAAAACGCUUUCCCCCUGCUUUCAGCUACUUUUGGGGAAAAAAUUACCUACCUGCCACUGAUUAUGAAGAUACCGGUUCGUUUCCCUGUUUUAUUUCUCCGACUUCCGCACCAAUGCACCCAUCUGACUCCUCCCGCACAGGCGCACCCGUCCGCCUCUUCCCGUCGCCCCCGGCCACCCGCCCCAGCCGCCCACUGCUCGCCGCCCGCUGCACCCCGCCGCUCGCCGCCCCCAGCCGCCCGCCCCACCCUGCCGCACCCCGCCGCCCCCGGCCUCCCGCCCCAGCCGCCUGCCGCACCCUACUGCCCGCCGCAGGCGAGAGCUCCACCGUGGAGUGGACUGGCCAGCAGGAAGAAGAAGAAGGGACUAGCGAGCGGGACCCGCUCGUCAAUGAGAAAGGGAGAGUUGCGGCGAGAGCUCCACCGUGGAGUGGACUGGCCAGCAGGAAGAAGAAGAAGGGACUAGCGAGCGGGACCCGCUCGUCAAUGAGAAAGGGAGAGUUGCAGCGAGAGCUCCACCGUGGAGUGGACUGGCCAGCAGGAAGAAGAAGAAGGGACUAGCGAGCGGGACCCGCUCGUCAAUGAGAAAGGGAGAGUUGCGGCGAGAGCUCCACCGUGGAGUGGACUGGCCAGCAGGAAGAAGAAGAAGGGACUAACGAGCGGGACCCGCUCGUUAAUGAGAAAGGGAGAGAGUUGAGUGGGGUGGACUGCGGAUGACAUGUAGGGUCCACUCGAUAGUUUAUUCAAAAGCUACAGCUCCUCUAACCAAACGGCCUUCUGCUUUUCCCAUAACUGGUUUUCUACAGCACAACCAAACACACCCUGAAUUGCGGGUUCCCCAGCCACACCCUCCUAGCGGCUACCGCCUCCCCGUACUGGCGUACAAACACCGCUCCGCGGGCGCGCCACAUCCUGAGCCCAGCGAGCGGGCAGCCCUUCCGCGCCGCCGGCGAGGAAGUGGACGUGCCGGCUGCCCGGCUAGGGUGCAACUGGUGCGCGUGCGGAGACCAACAGAUUUGAAUAUGCUCUGAAGGCACUAGGGACCAGGUCUCCCGUCUCAAAGUUAUUGUACAGGGACGCAGCUGAAAAAAGGUUAGUGGUUGCUCUGUUGUCUUGUCUACCCUACCGUCCCUGAAGAACUGUCAUGGUCAUGGAGUUCUUGGAGGUCUCAACAUCACCUCCUUUUCCUUGCAGCUUAGAAUUUCUCUCUGCGAAGUACGCCGGCUGAUCGGGCGCCGGCAGUGACACGCUCCCGUUCUCCAGGAUGGACACGACAGAGGACAUGAGCGGCCUGCCGUUGGGGUCGUCCUGGACGCACAGGAGCCCGACGUGGAUGCAGAGCAAGAGUUCAUCCAACGCGCAGCUCUCCACGAUGGAUGCGUCUACCAGGUCACUUGCAUUCCCUUCCUUCCACAGCUUCCAUGCCUGAAAAAAGUAUCAAAUGAGUCCUCUAUUUCAUUUCUAAGAGAAAUGGUCACACAAAUCAUUCCAUGGUCUAUACUCCCAAGUGUUUCAGACAUACUGCACUGGCAAAUUCAGAUAUGUUUGUACUGUAUUCUUACAUAGGCUACAAGGCCCGGAGACCCCAUGAUGUCAUCAGUAGAGCUUAUCCUGACGCCACUUACAAUUUCCAGGACCAAUAUGCCAAAGCUAUAGACGUCAGACUUGACAGAAAAGACGCCCUCAGUUUGAUAUUCAGGAGCUAUGUAGCCACUAGUGAGAGUGAGACCAUCAGAAGUUCAGAGUCGUCAGACACAAACGAAGUCCAAUCAUAUGCAAAAUUCAGUUAUAGGAGGACAAAAUUGAAGUACUACUCACAAUGUUCCGACAACUCGCUUAGUGUUUGCCUUUUGCUGGUUUUCGCCAAAUAUCUUGGCCAUACCGAAAUCUGCUAUUUUGGGUCUCAUCUCUGCAUCCAACAAGACAUUGCUUGCUUUAAGGUCCCUAUGUAUCACUGUCAGCCUUGAAUCUUGAUGGAGAUACAGAAGUCCCCUAGCCACGCCCUUGAUGAUCCCGAAUCUUGUCGGCCAAUCCAGCAGAGAUUUCCUUUCGCUGUCUGCAUUGAACAACAAUACCAUAUAUGGGGAUAAUGUAUGCUUCAAUGUGACAUUUUAGCAGCUUCAGUUAUGAUGAGUGGAACAUACCGAAAAGGAUAGCAUCUAGGCCUUUAUUGGCCAAGUACUCAUAUAUCAGCAACCUCUCAGCUCCCUCUGUGCAGCAACCGAGAAGCCGAACCAAGUUCCGGUGCUGGAGUUUGGAGAUCAAAAUAGCUUCAUUCUUGAAUUCCUCUAUCCCUUGUUCAGAAUCCUUGCUGAGCCUCUUGACAGCAACUACACGACCACCUAAAAAUGUCCCCUUCAGAAUUAUAGAACGAUAACUAAGUAUUGACUCUUGAGUACUAUAAUUCAAUUCAUGGAUUCAGAUGGAAAAGGAUAUGCUGCAGAACCUGAUAGUACCUUGUAAACUUUGCCAAAACCUCCGCGCCCGAUCAUACAUUCUCUCGAGAAGUUAUCUGUUGCCGCAACAAUAUCACUGAACUGUAUGGAAGGGAAUUCAAGAUCUUCACUGGGGUUUCCUUCUCCAAGUUCACUUGAAGCGCGCACACUGCCAGGCACCAGCUUCUUCUCACUUUCACUGCUUCUUCUCUUACCUGCAAAUUGGUGUUAAACAGCAUUUCUUUUGUGAUAACAUGUACCUCCUUCAUUCCUGUGUCUAAGGCUAAAACAACAAAUAUUGUGAGAGCAUACAGAUAAAAUACAAAAUAAAUACCUUUGGAUCUGCAUUUACAAAACCAAACAAGGACACUGCAUGUGACUAUCAAAACACUUGCCAACACUGGCAGUAAAAUUUUCAGAGUUUUUGUCCCUCUCUUUUUGCCUGCACAAAUACAGGUGAAUGCUUCGUGACAAUUGCAAGAAGAUGCUUUUGCUGCCGGUUGAAAAUUGAGACAUUGAUGCGGCAGGAACAGAAAAGAAAAGCGAACCUGUGAAUCCGGCAGGAACCCGGAGGUUAAGCGUCUCGGCGGUCACGCCCCAGAAGGCGCCGAUCAUCUGCGUGUCGACCAGCUCCCCGGUCCACACCAGGCACCGCGCGAUGUCCCCCUUGGCGCUGCUGCUGCGCAGGCUCGCGUACGCGUACGCCUCGCAGGCGCAGUCCCGGCGGCACGCUGCGGCGCACUCGUCGCCGGAGGUCAUGUUCCCGAGGAGCACGAACUUGUCCGGCACCUUCAUGCUGGGCAUCGCCAAGAACGCAUCCCCCUCACCGCCGCCGCCGCACGGUGCCAGGGCCUGGCUCCGGCGGCAGCCCCGCGAGAACACGCCGCGGCUCCACUCCGCUCGGCUAGCGGGCUCGAAGCCGUCGAGGCACCUGCACGUCGCCGCGGUCUGCGUGUGGUGGCAGUAGCCGUAGGCGCCGCAGCUGCCGUAGGGGCUGCACCCGCGGCCUGGCAAGGACUCGAGCGUGGUCCACGCCGACGCGUUGCGAUUCCAGCUCAGCAGCUGGAACUUGCCGGCGCCGGUCACCACGUACCGCGUCGGCGGGGCGCCUUCGUUGACGGAGAAGGUCGUGUAGAUCUCCUCCUCACCGUCUACGACCGCCACGUAGAUGACCGUGCCGGUGGCGGGGUGGUACCUGCUUACGGUUGGGUACCCCGUCCAGGGCGUGCCGCGCCAGUAGAUACGCGUCCCGUUCCACAGCAGCAGCUGGAGCGACGUGUUCGGGUCCAUGCCGUAGGAGAAGCUCCCCGGCGAGGGGUCGCCGGGGCCCUUCCACGACACGAUGCGCCAGCCGUCGACCCCGUCGUCGCGCGUGCGGCGGCGCAGCCCGACCUUCAUGCCCGGGAUGAACGUGUCCGUCGGGUGGUCGAAGCUCUGCCACAACGGCUUCGCGGCGUUCGGCGACAGGAUGACGAGGUUACCGUCAUUCUGAAGCACCGCCGCCGUCGAACCAGUUGCAGAACCCGAGCUCAUGGCGGCGGUGAUGUUCGCCGUCCAGACGACGCGGCCGCUGGCGUCGGCCAGGACGAGGCUGGAGGUGUCGUUGGCCAGCGCAAGCGACGGCGCGGCGGAAGAGUUGCCGCCGGAACCCUCGCCGAUGAUGACCGGCGCGUCCCGGUUGGCGACCCACACCACGGUGCUCGCGGUCACGGUGAUGUUGUUGUACCAUAUGCCGAGGUACUGCCUGCCCGGCGCGGCGUCAGAGGGGGCGAAGAAGCCGAGCACGAAGGCGCCGCCGUUGGACACGAUGGUCUCACCGGGCAACAGCGACUCCCCGCGGGUCAGCUUGUCGCCGGCCGGCGAGCACAGGCGCGGCAAGAGGAGGAGGACGGCGGCCGUGAUGCAGGUGGAAGUGGAACGUGACCACUCCAUGGUCGCACGUCAUUCGGUAUGGUACCAAAGAGACAGAGACCAGUAUGUUCGUGCAGAUGAAAUACUCCUAACCUCGAGGCUUGGGCUGCAAGUGACCGUGAUAGAAUUCUAGAUUUCUAGAGCUCCCUUGGACUAGUUUCAGCGUACGGAGUUUAAGAGAAGGUCGGAGCUUGACGCUUGGGGAGUUAGCGCCAGGAGGACGCUUGCCAUUGGUGUGCCUACAUGGACAUGGCGACGGUAGCGGCCGGCGGUGAUGUGAGCCAAGAAAUGAGUGGUACACUGACUAGUCAUCUCUGCGUGUGUCACAACGAAAUCGUCACCAACAACUGCGUUGAUUUCUGGAUGGAACUGGGGACGAUGCGGCGACCGAGUUGGGGUGGAAGUGGAACCACGGUUUCUGGUGUGCGUUGCUUAUUCAGACAGCGACGUAGAGUUCUGCAGUGCUCUUCAAAGCAUGAUCUUACCUGAAGAUCACGAAGCGUGGCCAGGAAAGAAAGAAAAAUAAACAGGUGGUCUCCAAAUCUGAGGUUGAGUUCUGCACUCACACUUGUGCCCGUGGUGGUUCUGAAAUGUUCAGCAUUGCUAGAAACAAGGACCAGUCUGCAUGUGUCACGCAAGAUCAAAUCUUAACCAACACCAACCACCACACACACUGGAUCAGAGUUCUGAUUGGAACGAAGCUGGCAUGAUGCUGCAAUCGGAUACAAAGUCAGUGUGGAAGCACGGUUCCUCGCGUGCCUUUAUCAUAUCCAAUAAUUGCUCUCAGCUCGUGCUGCUCGAUGAAUUUCUUCAUACAUGAACAAUCCUUCUGAAAACUUUGUAGGCAACGAAAUCCAGGUUCACCCAUUAUGUAAGAAAAAAAGAAUUGUCCUUCCAAUUAUCAUCACAAAGAGUAAAAAUGAAACACCAUUAGUCAACUCUAUUUGUUCAAAUUCAGUUCUUUCAUAUUCUUUUGUUUAUUAUGAUAGGAAAAACAUAAUAUCCUACAGCUGUUGAGAUUUCUAACAUAACCGAAAAUAAAAUUGAAAAUUAAGAGAAUGGCUUCCAAACCACAAAUGGUGAUGGAGCCUUAAGCAAUACUAUCUAUCUUGGGCAGUGUUUCCAAACAUCAUAAAAAGGUUAUCGUCCCUCUAUAUUUGUGAGAGUAAGGGAAUUCAUGGAAUUUUCAGUUCUGUCCCUAAUUUGCUCCAGAUCACUGCUCCUCUGUCCAUAGUGCCCAGGGUUGUUGGGUGCUGGCAGUGUGGUGCUUCCAUUCUCUAGAGUGAACACAACAGAUGACAUAAGUGGUCUAUCAUCUGGGUUUUCUUGAACGCACAAGAGUGCCACAUGACUGCAAAGCGAAACUUCAUCUAGCAAACAAGCAUCCGUAAUGGAUUGGUCUGCUAAAUCUCUCGUCUUCCCCUCCUUCCACAUGUUCCAAGCCUGAAACAAUCAAAACAAUUAUUUGGAUUUAUGGUAAGCGAGAACAUGAAGACUCUGAUUUUAAUCAGUUACAGCUCCAUAAAAGGCAUAUACUCACAUAGACUAUUAGGUUCGGAGAACCUAUAAUGCUACUAACAGAACUUCUCUUUAUACCAGUAACAAUCUCUAAGAGUAGAACACCAAAGCUAUAGACAUCGGACUUGAUGGAGAAGACGCCUUCCAUUGCAUACUCCGGAGCCAUGUAGCCACUGUUUGAUCAUUUCACAUGCACAUACUAUUGAAUGAAAGCUGAAUUUAGUUACUUUUUGUUUGGAAAAAUAUAAAUUGUUACUUACUAUGUCCCAACAAUACGAUGCGUGUUUGCAUCUUUCUGGCUAUCAUUGAAUAUCCUUGCCAUGCCAAAGUCUGCUAUCUUUGGUCUCAUAUCUGCAUCUAGCAAAACAUUAGCAGCUUUGAGAUCUCUAUGAAUUAUGGUCAAUCUUGAAUCUUGGUGGAGAUAGAGAAGUCCUCUUGCAACCCCUUUGAUUAUAUUGAAUCGUGUAGGCCAAUCCAAUAAUAUCUUCCUCGAAUUAUCUGCAUGAAGAGAUUCUGUAUAACACAAUUUUUAGCUUUUAUGUGCUAUUUAUAAGAAUUUAUGGCGUGUCACAUACCAAAGAGGGUAGCAUCUAAGCUUCCAUUAGCCAAGUAUUCAUAAAUAAGGAUUUUCUCAUCAGCCUCAACACUGCAACCAAAAAGUCGAACCAAAUUUCUAUGUUGCAAUUUAGCAAUUAGAAUUACUUCAUUCCUGAAUUCUUUUGUUCCUUGCUCAGAAUCCUUGCUUAACCUUUUGAUGGCAACUUCUUUACCACCUAGCAUCGCCUUCAGAAAAAGUAUAAGGGUGAAAGUCAGAUUUGAGGCUUGGAGCUCAUUAUUACAAUUAACAAAAAUCAAUAUAAUUAGAUGACCAGAACUAAUAAGAGGAAAUCACCGCAGAAUUAAGUAAUUACCUUAUAAACUUUACCAAAACCCCCCUGCCCAAUCUUACAUGCCUCUGAGAAAUUGCGUGUUGCAGCCACGAUAUCCUCAAAUCUAACAGAGAAGAAUUCAAAGUCUUGGGCAUGGUUUCCAUCCCCAAGUUCAUCCGAUGUACUCAUUUCAUCCAAAAUUAGCUUCUUAUGCUUUGCCCCGUAUCUUAUUCUACCUGUUUCCAUAAUUCUAUAACCAAAUGCUUGAAAUAUAGAUUUGUAAGAAACUAAGAAUGGAAAUAUGUUGAGCUCUACCUUUGAACUUGAACCAUGCAAGGGAAAGGGCUGCGAGGAUCAGAAGACCACUUGUCAAAACAGCAGGGAGCACAGUCUUCAGUGCUUUGCUCUUCGCCCUCAUCAUACCUGUGGUAGCUUUACAAGUCAAAAAAAAAAGAAAAAAAAGAAAAGAAGACCUAUUUGAAGUCCCCACAAAUUCCACAUGGAACAUUUGAAUUUCUGUUUUAAACGAGAAAGGGAUCCCAGCUUUCCAAAUGUGGGUUUCAAAGUUUCCUGAAUAGAAUCAUAGAUAGAUGAGAAGAAAGAAAAGGUCGAUCUGUUGCACGUAUACCUGCAUCCAAGCCUGCAAUCCGGAGGUACAGCGUUUCGCUGCCAGCAUUGACACCUAUUUUCUCCGUGUCAAUCAGCUCUCCUGUCCACACCAAGCACCUCGUCACAUCCCCCUUGAUUCUGCUAGUGCUCAGAUCAGCAUAAGCAUACGCCACACACGAACAGUUUCUGGUGCACUCGGCUGCGCACUCCUGGAAUGUUCGGUUCUCGACGAGCACGAACUUAUCCGGCGAUUUCAUCCCCGGCAAGGCCAAAAAACCGUCGCUGCACUGCAGCGCCUCCUUUCGCCGGCACCCUGGAGAGAACCUGCCGCUACUCCACCCCUCUGGAUUGGCAGGCGCGAAACCGUCGAGGCACUUGCACGUCGAUGGAUUCCCAUCCCAUCUGUUGUCGCAGUAGCCGUUCGGGCCACAGUAGCCGUAGCGGCUGCAGUAGCCGCCCGUCCAUUCGGAGAGGACGGCCCAUGCGGAUGAGGCGCUGUUCCAGGUUUGGAGCUGGUACUCGCCGGAGUCUGUGAGCACGUAUCUGGUAUGCGCGGCGCCGGGUGAGAGGCUGAAGGUUAUGUAGAUCUCCUUCUUGGUGUUGACAACGUUGAGGUUGACGAUGACGCUGAUGACCAUCUGGAACUGGACCUGGACGGAAAAGGAGUCGCCCGUCCAUGGCCCACUGCGCCAGAUCGGACGCGUUGCGUUCCAGACGAAGAUCUGAAGGAACGUUUCUGGGUCCCCGCCGAAGGAGAAGCUCCCCGGGGAUGGGUCGUCGGGGCCCUUCCACGAGACCAGGCGCUUGCCGGCGCGCGUCUCGUACCUGAUUCGGAUCCUCAUGCCGGGGAGGAACGUGUCGGCCGGGUGGUCGAAGCUCUGCCACAAGUUGGUGCCGUCCGGUGACCAGAUGACAAGGUUUCCAGUGUCCAUAAGCACAGCGGUAGCGUUCCCCGCAGCUGCACCGGUGACGUCUGUCGUCCACAGAACAUGGCCGUCAGCGUCUGACAGGACGAGGUUGGACGCGUUGGUCAGGGACAGCGCUGGUGGAGAGGACGUGGUGUUCGUGACGGGGAUUUCUCUGUUGGCGACCCACACGACGGUGAGCCGGGGGAUGUCGUUGUACCAGAUGCCGAGGUACAGCUUGGCCGGGGUGGAGUUGGUGGGGGAGAAGAAGCCCAAGGCGAAGCUGCCGCCGUCGGAUACGAUGGUGGCGCCAGGGGAGAGCGGCUUGCCGGGGACGAGCCGGUCUUCGGUUGCACACGGUGGCGGCGGCAGCAGCAGGAGGACGAGGACAGUGGCGUACCUGAUGAUAGCUGGCCAAGCCAUCAUGCUACUAUGCUAGCACCUUUCCUUGCAAUACUUAGCUAGCUUGUUGGUCUGUUGGUCAUGGAUCAGCAACGAAACUGGAGGUUUCACUUGAAAUGAAGGUAUUGCUGUCUUGAGCCUUGGUCUACUGGCAAACGAUGUCAACGGCUAAACCAACAAAAAAAAA